rnacentral:lncRNA from 1 species
UGAUGAGAUGUACAGAGGGGUCCGGGAAGCUGCCAGUUGGCGUCGGCCCCCACCCCAGGAUGUGUUAGCUUCAUCCAUCUAACAUCAGAGGCGCGGCGGCGUGAUGAGAGCGCGCGUGUCGGCACAAGUCUGGGCAUGUGGUUUGAUUCUUUCGCCUGCAUAGAGACCGGCAUGAAAGUGGCAAUGUGACUUGGCUGACCUUGAUGGUGCUGGCAACUGCUAAAAUGUAGUGUACUGUGCCUGAUCCUGACAAGAACUCAGAUAUAGCUCUCUUGAAAUCCUGCUCUCUUUUUGACUGCUGACCCUGACCUAUGUGAAUACAUCGUUCGACUUUUUUUCUUUCUGAAAAAACCCUGUCGUUUUUUUUUCUCGCUUAAAUGUGAUACGAUGCUGCUGCGUGUCUGUAUAUGUUUUGAAGGUUGUCAGAAUAAAAUAAAAUAAGCCACAGUGAGAGCAUCACUCACAGCACAGCAGCAUGAGUGAAAAGAAGUCAACUUUCUUGUGUUCUUUUGUAACAAGGCUUCGGAAUUUUCAGCAAGAUCAAGUGAUAAUCUGGUUAGGGCAGAUUUGAAGGUCCUCCAAAAGGUUAUUGCAUAUAUGUUCGCAAAAAAGAAAAUGGUAUUGCAUAUAUAGGGCGCAAUCUGCAAUACCAAAGAAUUGAAGGGCCGUAGCUCCAAGUAAAGAAUGGCAGUCGUGAGGACACUUCUGGGAGAGAAUGAAAACAUCAAGGACCUUUGUGUAAGAAGCGAACUACAGGCGAGGGCUGGAAAAGAAGGCCUCCAGGGACCUGCGCGCGAAAUCUAAAAAAAUAUGGACCAUUUCUCGAUUAUCUUCUCUGUAUCUUCCAAUUUUAUCAGAUGUCCCCGAAGAGUCAGCUGCCGCGCUGCUUAUAAACCGGUGCUUCUCGCCUUGGCUGGCCGAUGUGGGACUAAAUAAAGGAGCGUUUCUUUUGCUGCGUGCGCUUACUACAGCCAGAUCGACGGCGUCGGACGCGCGGUGGGCCGAAAGCAGUCGGCUGGGUUUCUUGCUGUGGCCCAAAUUAGUGGACGAGCGUAAUGGGGCCUUCGUGUUAUUCCACCGAGCGGAUGCGUACUGACCUUUUUUUUAGGUGUCUUAAAAAAAAGACUGUUUUUUUUAUUUUUUUUGCGCAUGCUAAUCUUUUUUUUGUGGGUACUGUCUGUUCAAACAUGUACUGCUACGUACGGGCUGAAAAUGGAAAUGGAAAUGGAAGUACAUCCACAUCCACAUCCCGUUCCCGUGGACUGCUUUGCUAGGCUGCUCCAUUUGAAGUGCAUUGCAUGCACGCACGUACGUACAACUCGUGCUUUCAAUUGUAUCUGCAUGCAUGCAGUGUCAACGCCCGUCUGAAUUCAAACCAUGUACGUUAUGUAUGUAACCCAAGCGUGCAUGCUUAACGUGCUAGCCGAAUUACCUACCGGCCGGUCUCCCGCUCUCACGUGCCGAAACACCUGAUGUACAUACAAUACAAGCGAGCCAGCUGCUAGCUUGUUGAUUAUUCUUUUCUCGAUCCAGUUGAAUGCAUGCAUGCAUGACCUACCUUCGAGGAUGUUUGGGUGCAUCACCGGGAUUUAGUGUAUGUAUGUAUGUAUGUAUGUAUGUAUGUAUGUUAAAAGCACAUGCAUGACCUUCGUCUUAAACUAGCUUGUAAUUAACAGUGCUGAUCAGAAGACAAACAACAAAUGAUCUUGAAAUUUAGAGUACAAUCCGAUCAAUGCUGCUUCGUAUAUAGUAUGCAUGAACUCAAAAUGAUCGAAAUCAAGAUGCACACUGCAUGCAGCCUCAAUCAAUAGUACUACACAGUACACGCUAGUUACAAACUGCGCGCAUGUUGAAUUACUAAAUAAGCAGUGCAUGCGAACGAGCAACUAGUAGCUAAUGUAACCCUAGAAGGCUUGUACAGCAGGAACAACUCCCCGUCCAGGGUUCCGCGAGCGAAAGAAGGCCGGCGGCAUUGGAAGCAUGCUUGGGUCAGGCGAGGCGACGAAGCUCGGGCCGGAGAACAUGGGGCCUAUGCGCGGAGCUGUCGGUUUCAGAACCAUCGCCGUUGUGUCGCCCCCUUGGUCCUCGUCGCUCGUCCAGCUCUCUGCGCUAGCUUGUGCCGGUCGAGGCUUCUUGUGCGUGUCCCAGCGACCAGCGGAGGUCGUGCGGCUGGGCGGCAGCUGCUUGUUGCUAUCCCACCUCCCGCACGGUGACGCCCCGCCGGAGCUCGUGCUGCUUCGCCGGCUUGACGACGAUGACGUGCAGCUGCUGCCGGAGAUGUGCUUGUUUAUGCCCCAACGCUGGCAGGAGGAGGCUCGGCCGGGACCUGAGCUGCUGGAGCACGACGAGGCUGGGCUCGUGGGCUUCUUGUCCUUCUUGUGCGCGUCCCACCUCUCGACGGAGUCGGCGCGGCCGGGCUUGGGCUUGGGCUUGGAGGCGAAGGAAGACGGCAGGAUGAUGAGGCACGGCCUCGUCGGCGGGGUCGGGAGGAGACCCGGGAGAAGGGAGGCGGCGGCUUUGGCCAUUGCUCGCUCAACGGAAUACAUUGGUGAUCUCUCUUGAUCCAAGAAACACCACGCGCUUUGCCUUUGAGAGAGGAGGCGCCUUGGCCGGAGAAGGAACAGACGAGACGAUCUGAUGGUAUGGAGUUGGGUGGGUGCGUCCGUAUAUAUAUAUAGAUAUCUCCCGCUGUGACGGACGGACUCCAUUUGGAAUUAGGGCCGGGCCAAGACCGUGUUCGACUGCCAGUCGGCCACGUACGAACGAGGCUCCAUUUCGGAUUAGCAGUACGUGCGCUAGAUGGAUAAGUCGCGUCGGUCCUACGAAGUUUUUUUUUCCUUUCUUCCUUUUCUCGCCGGCGUACGUACGCACCAAUCGGCAAUCCGGCCGGCGGCGGCGUUGAAUUGGCACAUAUCAGUCAGAUUCGAAUCGUAGUUUAAUGGUCGUGGCUCGCGGGCGCACGGGCGCCCGAUCGCAGCCCCGAGCGCAUCUUCCUAAUAUGGAAGGGACCACUGCGCGUGCUGUCCGACCGCUGGAAAAGGGAAGAACCGGUCCCUCACUCUGCUGUCCCCCGCGUGAUUAGGAAGAUGCUCUGUCACGUCAGUUCGCAUGCAUUAAUUUGAGUUUCAAAAAAUUUAAAAAGCCAUAACUUUUGAUUCGAGUAUCGAAAUUCAGACCCGUUUUCACCAUUGGGUUUCUUGUGACGAGUUCUUCAAAACUAGAUCCCAUAUGAAUAGGUUUCAAUGAACUUUUUUUUAGCAACUCUGUGUGGUAUAUAGGCAACUUUAGUGUUAUCAGUAAGCAACUCUUCUUGUUUGUCUAAUAUGACUUCCUAUCAUCUUGGUUUGUGUAAAAACCAAGCAACUGACCUAACAAACCAAGCAUCUGUCCUAGUAAACCAAGCAACUGUCCUAGUAAAUCAAGCAACUGUCAUAACAAAACCAAUCGAUUGUCCUAAUAAAUCAAACAACUUUCCUAACAAAACUAAGCAACUAUCCUAACAAAACCAAGCAACUGUCCUAGCAAAUCCAUGCAACUACAUUAUCAAAACACACAAUGCAUAAUGUCUAAGCAAACCAAGCAACUGUCCUAACAAACCAAGCAACCAUCUUAACAAAAAACAAACAAUUUCAAUAACAAAACCAAGCAACUGUCCUAACAAAACAGAGCAACUGUACUAACAAACCAAGCAACUGACCUAACAAACCAAGCAACUGUGCUAGUAAACCAAGCAACUGUCAUAACAAAACCAAUCGAUUGUCCUAAUAAAUUAAGCAAUUGUCCUAACAAAACUAAGCAACUAUCCUAACAAAACCAAGCAACUGUCCUGGCAAAUCCAUGCAACUAUCCUAUCAAAAUAUGUUGUCAUCACCAAAGUUCUGCACAAGAAUACCACAUCUAUAAAAUGAAUUGCCUACUCCUGGGGAAAAUUGAUGCAUCUACGACACAAACAAGUGAGGGUGUCAUUAACUCCAAACAAGUUCACAAGGUUCUGACAGUGACAUAUAGUCUGCACACACACACAUUCAUCAGUCAAAAAUGCAGUAGUACUAAUUAGUAGCAGGAAUAAGAUCACAUGUUCAGCUGGUGAUGCACGAGGCAAGAUAGAUAGUUAGAAAAUGCAGCAGCACAGAGCCUGCUUAUCAGCAACAUGACAUUCAUCUCGAGAGCCAAUCUAUCGAUCCCAUUUUUUCUCACUUGUGACGAUGUGUAUGCUCAUGGACACCAAUACUCACUUUGAUAUUCAGAGGAUCACCAUUAUUCCUGCUUUGCCAGACCUGAUAAUGCGCACGCGCCUCCGCGCUAAGGCCUCAUCUAGCAUGCACCUAACUAUGUGGUCGCGACGGAACAGCAGAGGCGGCCGGACCUUGAGUCUCGCAUGGGCCCGGGGCGCAUCUGCAGGGCACUGCCAGAAGAAGUGAGCACCGGGAAGCAACAACGUCGCAGCCAUGCCGAAAUGCCUCCCCACGAACCCAGCAGCCUCCGCCCACACGGGCGCCUUGAAGAAGACCUCUCGGAAGACGCAGAGCUCCAUGAGCGGCCUGUCCUCACCGAAGAUGAACUGGAUGGCGUCGAGACGGGCCGAGAUCCGAGCCUCCCGGCUAUGGCAGCAGCGCAUGGCUCGUCGGCGUUGGGAAGGCAUCCAGGCGGCGGAGCUCCACAGGAAGACACAUGGGAGGGGCGGAUCUAGCGCGGAGCUCCUCGGAUCCAUACAGGUUCACGCGCGGUAGGGCGCCGAAGGUGGAUGGCGGCAGUUGGCAGGAGGACGGGGUCGCGGACGCUCGGAUGCCAUGGCUACCAGGGCGGCGGCCGGCGGGUCAGGGGAGGAGGGAGGAAAGGAGAGGAAGAGGGCUCGGUGCGCUAGAUUCUUUUGGAAGGGAGCGAGUGUGUGGCUUGUCGCGUAGCGCGAGCGCCCGACACAAUAAAAUAGCGCACGCGCACUUUUAAGAAUUUAGGUAGUUUAAUUUGAAAUAUUUGCUUUCAACACUGUCAUUUAUUCGGAAUACUACAAAUGAUCUCCUACAUUUUCCGAGUAUCCGUCGGAUUAGUUAGGUGCUAAUCUCUCAGAUUGAUGCUCUUCGUGCAGUAUUGAGAUUUGCGUAGAAAAAUGAAUAGUAGUUGUAAAAAGAAGAUGACACUGCACAUAUUUGCGGCGAGUAUAAAAUCUGUGUACACAAAAAUAGUAAUAGCCAUGACACUUUUAUCGUCGUUCGGAGGUUACUAUUUGCAAUGCUAUUUGUUCAACCAAGUACAAAGCAUGCACACUUUCUCAACUUAUUCUAUGCCCAUUGUAAUUUGUAAGACACAAUUGAGCAUGAAAACCCCCGGUAAAAAAUCAUGCUAAUUGUUCAAUUUAUAUUGUUGAUCAUUCCAUAAAGUAGAAAAUACCCAACACGUUGGGGCGGGAACUCCCUAAAAACUUAUAUAGAAAUUAUGAGUUGAGAAACAAUGGAAAGUUCCCUGAUUUUUUAAAAAUAAAAUAAAAAUAAAGGGAAGUUUAACAUGCAUAAUGCAAUAGUUACAAAUAUGAAAUAUCCUUUGUUUUAGUUAAUUAUUAAUGUCUUAUUUUAUGGCCGGGAAGAAAUUGCUGGGAGAUCACUAGUGCAGAAAUGCCUACUAGCGGUGUUUGGACAAAGUCGUUAGUGGUGCGGAGGCGGGACGCCACUAGUAUUAAGCCACUGGCAUGUUCAGAGUAGUGGCGCCUCCUCUCAACGCAACUGGUAUUGAACCUAGCACUGGAGUCGAGGCUAAACGUCACUAAUUGCAAAUUCAUUUGUAGCGCUGAUACAGUAUCAGAUGCCACUAGAUAUCUCAAAUGCUAUAUUCGAUGCAACACCGUUGACAUAUGGAUCCGAGUUGUCAGUUAAUCCCUACUAUCAGAUAACCCCCAACGUAUUAGUUUAAAUUAAUGGAGUUAACAAAUUAAACUAAACAUAGAUUAAACAUUAAUUAAACUAAACUAGCUAGGGCGCAUCUAUUACAUAGCAUGCUAGAUUUGGAAAGAUGGUCCAAAUCACAAAACUUGCACUACUGUACCAAUUAACUAGUUAAAGUAAAGAGCCACAGCCGCCUAGUCAUCGUCUUGGUCCGAGAAGACAACGUCGUUGUCGUCGAUAACUCCACGUCAUGAAAUGCAGGAGGCGGAGGCGGUUGCCACGACAUCUCCUCCUCAAGCCGACGGUUCUUCGCAUCGGGCGCUGCCGCCCUUGCCUCCUCGUAUGCUCGUAAAGACUCAUACGAGGUGUCAAUGGUCAUCUGAAGCUCCUCGUCGAUGCAGCAAGCCUCGAUCUGAGCCUCCAUCGCUAGAUGUUGUUGCAUCUCCACCCCGCCCACCAAAUCGAUGUCCCAUGGCGGGAACGGAGGUGGGGAUCAGGGCUUGGGGGAUGGCGGGGACGACCCAUCCGGAGAAGAGGAUGGGGUCUAAUCUGGUGAGGGCACGGGGAUGGCAGCGGCGACCCAACCGGAGAAGCAGGCAUCAAGGUGGCUUGUAUCGUACCGGCCACGAGCUCGUAGCACGACAACAUGGCCAGUACGGUCUGAAGCCGGUGACACAUAGCUGAAGGAAAUAUGCCCUAGAGGCAAUAAUAAAGUUAUUAUUUAUUUCCUUAUAUCAUGAUAACUGUUUAUUAUUCAUGCUAGAGUUUUAUUAACCGGAAACUUAGUAUAUGUGUGAAUACAUAGACAUAGUGUCACUAGUAUGCCUCUACUUGACUAGCUCGUUGAUCAAAGAUGGUUAUGUUUCCUAGCCAUAGACAUGAGUUGUCAUUUUAUUAACGGGGUCACAUCAUUAGGAGAAUGAUGUGAUUGACUUGACCCAUUCCGUUAGCUUAGCAAUCGAUCGUUUAGUAUGUUGCUAUUGCUUUCUUCAUGACUUAUACAUGUUCCUAUGACUAUGAGAUUAUGCAACUCCGCGUUUACCGGAGGAACACUUUCUGUGCUACCAAACGUCACAACGUAACUGGGUGAUUAUAAAGGUGCUCUACAGGUGUCUCCGAAGGUACUUGUUGGGUUGGCGUAUUUCGAGAUUAGGAUUUGUCACUCCGAUUGUCGGAGAGGUAUCUCUGGGCCGACUCGGCAAUACACAUCACUUAAGCCUUGCAAGCAUUGCAACUAAUGAGUUAGUUGCGGGAUGAUGUAUUACGGAACAAGUAAAGAGACUUGCCGGUAACGAGAUUGAACUAGGUAUUGAGAUACCGACGAUCUAAUCUCGGGCAAGUAACAUACCGAUGACAAAGGGAACAACGUAUGUUGUAAAGCGGUCUGACCGAUAAAGAUCUUCGUAAAAUAUGUGGGAGCCAAUAUGAGCAUCCAUGUUCCGCUAUUGGUUAUUGACCGGAGACGUGUCUCGGUCAUGUCUACAUAGUUCUCGAACCCGUAGGGUCCGCACGCUUAAAGUUUCGAUGACAGUUAUAUUAUGAGUUUUGAUGUACCAAAGGUUGUUCGGAGUCCCGGAUGUGAUCACGGACAUGACGAGGAGUCUCGAAAUGGUCGAGACAUGAAGACUGAUAUAUUGGAAGCCUACAUUUGGAUAUCGAAAGUGUUCCGGGUGAAAUCGGGAUUUUACCGGAGUACCGGAGGGGUUACCGGAACCCCUCGGGGGUUUAAUGGGCCAUAGUGGGCCUUAGUGGAGAAGAGGAGAGGCGGCUAGGGCAGGGACGCGCGCCCCUCCCCCUCUAGUCCGAAUAGGACAAGGAGAGGGGGGCGGCGCCCCCCUUUCCUUCCUCUCUCCCUCCUCUUUUCCCCCUUCUCCUAAUCCAACAAGGAAGGGAGGGAGUCCUACUCCCGGUGGGAGUAGGACUCCUCCUGGCGCGCCUCCUCCUGGCCGGACGCACCUCCCCCCUUGCUCCUUUAUAUACGGGGGCAGGGGGCACCCCAAAGACACAACAAUUGAUUUGAUCUUUUAGCCGUGUGCGGUGCUGUGGGGGAACGUAGCAGAAAUUCAAAAUUUUCUACGCAUCACCAAGAUCAAUCUAUGGAGUAAUCUAGCAACGAGGGGAAGGGGAGUGCAUCUACAUACCAUUGUAGAUCGCGAUGCGGAAGCGUUGCAAGAACGCGGAUGAAGGAGUCGUACUCGUAGCGAUUCAGAUCGCGGUUGAUUCCGAUCCAAGCACCGAAGAACGGUGCCUCCGCGUUCAACACACGUGCAGCCCGGUGACGUCUCCCACGCCUUGAUCCAGCAAGGAGAGAGGGAGAGGUUGGGGAAGACUCCAUCCAGCAGCAGCACGACGGCGUGGUGGUGAUGGAGGAGCGUGGCAAUCCCGCAGGUGUGUAGACCCUACGGGUUCGGGAACCAUGCAGACAUGACCGAGACGUUCUCCGGUCAAUAACCAACAGCGGGAUCUGGAUACCCAUGUUGGCUCCCACAUGUUCCACGAUGAUCUCAUCGGAUGAACCACGAUGUCGGGGAUUCAAUCAAUCCCGUAUACAAUUCCCUUUGUCUAUCGGUAUGUUACUUGCCCGAGAUUCGAUUGUCGGUAUCCCGAUACCUUGUUCAAUCUCAUUACCGGCAAGUCUCUUUACUCGUUCCGUAACUCACAUCAUCCCGUGAUCAACUCCUUGGUCACACUGUGCACAUUAUGAUGAUGUCCUACCGAGUGGGCCCAGAGAUACCUCUCCGUUUACACGGAGUGACAAAUCCCAGUCUCGAUUCGUGCCAACCCAACAGACACUUUCAGAGAUACCUGUAGUGCACCUUUAUAGUCACCCAGUUACGUUGUGACGUUUGGUACACCCAAAGCAUUCCUACGGUAUCCGGGAGUUGCACAAUCUCAUGGUCUAAGGAAAUGAUACUUGACAUUAGAAAAACUCUGAGCAAACGAACUACACGAUCUUGUGCUAGGCUUAGGAUUGGGUCUUGUCCAUCACAUCAUUCUCCUAAUGAUGUGAUUCCGUUAUCAAUGACAUCCAAUGUCCAUGGUCAGGAAACGGUAACCAUCUAUCGAUCAACGAGCUAGUCAACUAGAGGCUUACUAGGGACAUGGUGUUGUCUAUGUAUCCACACAUGUAUCUGAGUUUCCUAUCAAUACAAUUCUAGCAUGGAUAAUAAACGAUUAUCAUGAACAAGGAAAUAUAAUAAUAACCUAUUUAUUAUUGCCUCUAGGGCAUAUUUCCAACAGUCUCCCACUUGCACUAGAGUCAAUAAUCUAGUCCACAUCACCAUGUGAUUAACACUCAUAGGUCACAUCACCAUGUGACCAACAUCAAAGAGUUUACUAGAGUCAACAAUCUAGUUCACAUCACUAUGUGAUUAACACUCAAUGAGUUCUGGUUUGAUCAUGUUAUGCUUGUGAGAGAGGUUAUUAGUCAACGGGUCUGAACCUUUCAGAUCCGUGUGUGCUUUACGAAUAUCUAUGUCAUCUUGUGGAUGUUACCACGCGCUAUUUGGAGCCAUUUCAAAUAAUUGCUCUACUAUACGAAUCCGGUUUACUACUCAGAGUCAUCCGGAUUAGUGUCAAAGUUCGCAUCGACGUAACCCUUUACGACGAACUCCCUUUCACCUCCAUAAUCGAGAAAAUUCCUUAGUCCACUAGGUACUAAGGAUAAGUUCGACCGCUGUCAUGUGAUCCAUUCCCGGAUCACUAUUGUACCCCUUGACCAACUCAUGGCAAGGCACACUACAUGUGCGGUACACAGCAUAGCAUACUAUAGAGCCUACGUCUAAAGCAUAGGGGACGACCUUCGUCCUUUCUCUCUCUUCUGCUGUGGUCAGGUCUUGAGUCUUACGCAAUACUCACACCUCGUAACACAGCCAAGAACUCCUUCUUUGCUGAUCUAUUUUGAACUCUUUCAAAAUCAUGUCAAGGUGUGCGUUCUUUGAAAGUAUCAUCAGGCGUCUUGAUCUAUCUCUAUAGAUCUUGAUGCCCAAUACGUAAGCAGCUUUGUCCAGGUCUUCCUUUGAAAAACUCCUUUCAAACAACCCUUUAUGCUUUCCAGAAAUUUUACAUCAUUUCGGAUCAACAAUAUGUCAUUCACAUAUACUUAUCAGAAAUGUUGUAGCGCUCCCACUCACUUUAUUGUAAAUACAAGUUUCUAACAAACUUUGUAUAAACCCAAAAACUUUGAUUACUCCAUCAAAGCUUAUAUUCUGACUCCGAGAUGCUUGCUCUAGUCCAUGGAAGGAUCGCUGGAGCUAGCAUACCUUUUAGCAUCCUUAGGAUCGACAAAACCUUUCUGAUUGUAUCACAUACAACCUUUCCUUACGAAAACUGGUAAGGAAACUUGUUUUGACAUCCAUCUGCCAGAUUUCAUAAAUGCAGCUAAUGCUAACAUGAUUCCGACGGACUUAAGCAUCGCUACGGAUGAGAAAAUCUCAUCGUAGUCAACUCCUUGAACUUGUGGAAAUACUCUUAGCCACAAGUCGAGCUUCAUAGACGGUAACAUUACCGUCCACGUCCGUCUUCUUCUUAAAGAUCCAUUUAUCUCGGAUUUCAUGGCUUCUAACCAUUUGUCGGAAUAUGGGCCCACCAUCGCUUCUCCACAGCUCAUAGGUUCAUCGUUGUCCAACAACAUGAUUUCCAAGACAGGAUUACGCAUUACUCUGAAGUAGUACGCAUCCUCGUCGUCCUACGAGGUUUGGUAGUGACUUGAUCCGAAGUUUCAUGAUCACUAUCAUAAGCUUCGCUACACACUAGUUGAAGUUAUGGUUCAAUAACCUUAUCAAGUUUCCACCAUCCUCCCACUCAAUUCUUUCGAGAGAAAUUUUUCCUCGAGAAAGAAACCGUUUCUAGAAGCAAUUACUUUUGCUUCCAGAUCUGAAAUAGGAGGUAUACCCAACUGUUUUGGGUUUUCUAUGAAGAUGCAUUUAUCCGCUUUGGGUUCGAGCUUAUCAGCCUGAAACAUUUUCACAUAAGCAUCGCAGCCCCAAACUUUUAAGAAACGACACCUUAGGUUUCUCUAAAUGGUGUCGUCUCAACGGAAUUGCGUGGUGCCCCUUUUAAAGUGAAUGCGGUUGUUUCUAAUGCCUAACCCAUAAACGAUAGUGGUAAUUCGAUAAGAGACAUCAUGGUAUGCACCAUAUCCAAUAGGGUGCAGUUAUGAUGUUCGGACACACCAUCACACUAUGGUGUUCCAGGCGGUAUUAAUUGUGAAACACUUUCCACAAUGUCUUAAUUGUGUGCCAAACUCGUAACUCAGAUACUCAUCUCUAUGAUCAUAUCACAGACAUUUUAUCCUCUUGUCACGACGAUCUUCAACUUCACUCUGAAAUUGCUUGAACCUUUCAAUAAUUUAGACUUGUGUUUCAUCAAGUAAAUAUUCUCAGCAUCUACUCAAAUCAUCUGUGAAGUAAGAAAAUUUCGAUAUCCACUGCGUGCCUUAGCACUCAUUGGACUGCACACAUCAAAUGUAUUACUCCCAACAAGUUGCUCUCUUGUUCCAUCUUACGGAAAACGAGGCCUUUCAGUCAUCUUGCCCAUGUGGUAUGAUUUGCAUGUCUCAAGUGAUUCAAAAUCAAGUGAGUCCAAACGAUCCAUCUGCAUGGAGUUUCUUCAUGCAUAUAUACCAAUAGACAUGGUUCGCAUGUCUCAAUCUUUUCAAAAACGAGUGAGUCCAAAGAUCCAUCUACAUGGAGCUUCUUCAUGCGUUGUAUACCAAUAUGACUCAAAUUGCAGUGCCACAAGUAUGUGGUACUAUCAUUACUAUUUUAUAUCUUUUGGCACGAACAUGUGUAUCACUGCGAUCGAGAUUCAUUUUAGGUGCAAGACCAUUGAAGGUAUUAUUCAAAUAAACAGAGUAACCAUUAUUCUCCUUAAAUGAAUAACCGUAUUGCGAUAAACAUAAUCCAAUCAUGUUUAUGCUCAACGCAAACACCAAUCUCGAUGGUAGAGGGAGCAUGCGAUGCUUGAUCACAUCAACCUUGGAAACACUUCCAACACACAUCGUCAUCUCAUCUUUAGCUAGUCUCCAUUUAUUCAGCAGCUUUUAUUUCGAGUUACUAACACUUAGCAACCGAACCGGUAUCUAAUACCCUGGUGCUGCUAGGAGUACUAGUAAAGUACACAUUCAUAUAAUGUAUAUCCAAUAUACUUCUGUCGACCUUGCAUGCCUUCUCAUCUACCAAGUAUCUAGGGUAGUACUGCUUCAGUGACUGUUCCCCUCAUUACAGAAGCACUUAGUCUCGGGUUUGGGUUCAACCUUGGGUUUCUUCACUAGAGCAGCAACUGAUUUGCCGUUUCAUGAAGUAUCCCUUCUUGCCCUUGCCCUUCUAGAAACUAGUGGUUUUACUAACCAUCAACAAUUGAUGCUCCUUCUUGAUUUCUACUUUCGCGGUGUCAAACAUCGUGAUUUGCUCAAGGAUCAUCAUAUCUAUCCCUGAUAUGUUAUAGUUCAUCACGAAGCUCUAAUAGCUUGGUGGCAGUGACUUAGGAGAACCAUCACUAUCUCAUCUGGAAGAUUAACUCCCACUCGAUUCAAGCGAUUGCAGUACUCAGACAAUCUGAGCACAUGCUCAACGAUUGAGCUUUUCUCCCUUAGUUUGCAGGCUUAAGAAACUUGUCAGAGGUCUCAUACCUCUUGACGUGGGCACUAGUCUGAAAUCCCAAUUUCAGUCUUCGGAACAUCUCAUAUGUUCUGCGACGUUUCAAAACAUCUUUGGUGUCACAAUUCUAAACCGUUAGCAUUACGCACUGAACUAUCACAUAGUCAUCAAAACAUGUAUGUCAGAUGUUUCGCAACAUCUACAAACGACGCUCGAGGUUCAGCACACCGAGCGGUGCAUUAAGGACAUAAGCCUUCUGUGCAGCAAUGAGGACAAUCCUCAGUUUACGGACCCAGUCCGCAUAAUUGCUACUACCAACUUUCAACUAAAUUUUCUCUAGGAACAUAUCUUAAGCAGUAGAACUAAAGCGUAUGACAUAAUUUGCAAAGACCUUUUGACGAUGUUCAUGAUAAUUAAGUUCAUCUGAUUAAUGAACUCCCACUCAGAUAGACAUCCCUCUAGUCAUCUAAGUGAUACAUGAUCUGAGUCAAACUAGGCCGUGUCCGAUCAUCACGUGAGACGGACUAGUCAUCAUCGGUGAACAUCUCCAUGUUGAUCGUAUCUACUAUACGACUCAUGUUCGACCUUUCGGUCUCUUGUGUUCCGAGGCCAUGUCUGUACAUGCUAGGCUCGUCAAGUCAACCUAAGUGUUUCGCAUGUGUUCCGAGGCCAUGUCUGUACAUGCUAGGCUCAUCAAUACCCGUUGUAUUCGAACGUUAGAAUCUAUCACACCCGAUCAUCACGUGGUGCUUCGAAACAACGAACCUUCGCAACGGUGCACAGUUAGGGGGAACACGUCUCUUGAAAUUUUAGUGAGGGAUCAUCUUAUUUAUGCUACCGUCGUUCUAAGCAAAUAAGAUGCAUAACAUGAUAAACAUCACAUGCAAUCAAAUAGUGACAUGAUAUGGCCAAUAUCAUUUUGCUCCUUUGAUCUCCAUCUUCGGGGCACCAUGAUCAUCUUUGUCACCGGCAUGACACCAUGAUCUCCAUCAUCAUGAUCUCCAUCAUUGUGUCUUCAUGAAGUUGUCACGCCAACGAUUACUUCUACUUCUAUGGCUAACGCGCUUAGCAAUAAAGUAAAGUAAUUUACAUGGCGUUAUUCAAUGACACGCAGGUCAUACAAAAAAUAAAGACAACUCCUAUGGCUCCUGCCGGUUGUCAUACUCAUCGACAUGCAAGUCGUGAUUCCUAUUACAAGAAUAUGAUCAAUCUCAUACAUCACAUAUAUCAUUCAUCACAUCCUUUUGGCCAUAUCACAUCACAUAGCACAUGCUGCAAAAAAAAGUUAGACGUCCUCCAACUGUUGUUGCAAGUUUUUUACGUGGCUUGUAUAGGUUUCUAGCAAGAACGUUUCUUACCUACGUAAAUGUUGGAAAUAUGCCCUAGAGGCAAUAAUAAAUGGUUAUUAUUAUAUUUCUUUGUUCAUGGUAAUUGUCUAUUGUUCAUGCUAUAAUUGUAUUGUCCGGAAAUCGUAAUACAUGUGUGAAUACAUAGACCACAAAGUGUCCCUAGUAAGCCUCUAGUUGACUAGCUCGUUGAUCAACAGAUAGUCAUGGUUUCCUGACUAUGGACAUUGGAUGUCAUUGAUAACGGGAUCACAUCAUUAGGAGAAUGAUGUGAUGGACAAGACCCAAUCCUAAGCAUAGCAUAAAAGAUCGUGUAGUUUCGUUUGCUAGAGCUUUUCCAAUGUCAAGUAUCUUUUCCUUAGACCAUGAGAUCAUGCAACUCCCGGAUACCGUAGGAGUGCUUUGGGUGUGCCAAACGUCACAACGUAACUGGGUGACUAUAAAGGUGCACUACGGGUAUCUCCGAAAGUGUCUGUUGGGUUGGCACGGAUCGAGACUGGGAUUUGUCACUCCGUGUGACGGAGAGGUAUCUCUGGGCCCACUCGGUAAUGCAUCAUCAUAAUGAGCUCUAUGUGACUAAGGCAUUAGUCACGGGAUCAUGCAUUGCGGUACGAGUAAAGAGACUUGCCGGUAACGAGAUUGAACAAGGUAUUGGGAUACCGACGAUCGAAUCUCGGGCAAGUAACAUACCGAUUGACAAAGGGAAUUGCAUACGGAUUGAUUGAAUCCUCGACACCGUGGUUCAUCCGAUGAGAUCAUCGUGGAACAUGUGGGAGCCAACAUGGGUAUCCAGAUCCCGCUAUUGGUUAUUGACCGGAGAGGCGUCUCGGUCAUGUCUGCAUGUCUCCCGAACCCGUAGGGUCUACACACUUAAGGUCCGGUGACGCUAGGGUUGUAGAGAUAUAUGUAUGCGGAAACCCGAAAGUUGUUCGGAGUCCCGGAUGAGAUCCCGGACGUCACGAGAGGUUCCGGAAUGGUCCGGAGGUGAAGAAUUAUAUAUAGGAAGUCAAGUUUCGGCCACCGGGAAAGUUUCGGGGGUUACCGGUAUUGUACCGGGACCACCGGAAGGGUCCCGGGGGUCCGCCGGGUGGGGCCACCUGUCCCGGAGGGCCCCGUGGGCUGAAAGUGGAAGGGAACCAGCCCUUAGUGGGCUGGGGCGCCCCCCUUGGGCCUCCCCCCAUGCGCCUAGGGUUGGGAACCCUAGGGGGGAGCUUCCCCCUUGCCUUGGGGGGCAAGGCAACCCCUUUCGACCCCUUGGCCGCCGCCCCCCCAACCCUAGAUGGGUUUUGGCCGGCCCCCCUCCCAAGGGGGCCUAUAUAAAGGGGGGGGAGGGAGGGCAGCAACCUACAGCCUUGGGCGCCUCCCUCCUCCCCUGCAACACCUCUCUCUCUCUCGUAGAAGCUUGGCGAAGCCCUGCCGGAGACCCGCUACAUCCAUCACCACGCCGUCGUGCUAUUGGAUCUCCAUCAACCUCUCCUUCCCCUUUGCUGGAUCAAGAAGGAGGAGACGUCGCUGCACCGUACGUGUGUUGAACGCGGAGGUGCUGUCCGUUCGGCACUCGGUUAUCGGUGAUUUGGAUCACGGCGAGUACAACUCCGUCAUCCACGUUCAUUGGAACGCUUCCGCUCGCGAUCUACAAGGGUAUGUAGAUGCACUCCUUUCCCCUCGUUGCUAGUAGACUCCAUAGAUGCAUCUUGGUGAGCGUAGGAAAAUUUUAAAUUAUGCUACGAUUCCCAACAGUGGCAUCAUGAGCCAGGUCUAUGCGUAGUUACUAUGCACGAGUAGAACACAAAGUAGUUGUGGGCGUUGAGUUUGCCAAUUCUUCUUGCUGCUACUAGUCUUUUCUUGUUUCGGCGGCAUUGUAGGAUGAAGCGGCCCGGACCGACCUUACACGUACACUUACGUGAGACAGGUUCCACCGACUGACAUGCACAAGUUGCAUAAGGUGGCUAGCGGGUGUCUGUCUCUCCUACUUUAGUCGGAACGGAUUCGAUGAAAAGGGUCCUUAUGAAGGGUAAAUAGAAAUUUGCAAAUCACGUUGUGGUCAUACGUAGGUAAGAAACGUUCUUGCUAGAAACCUACAAACCACGUAAAAACUUGCAACAACAAUUAGAGGACGUCUAACUUGUUUUUGCAGCAAGUGCUAUGUGAUAUGAUAUGGCCAGAAGAUGUGAUGAAUGAUAUAUGUGAUGUAUGAGAUUGAUCAUAUUCUUGUAAUAGGAAUCACGACUUGCAUGUCGAUGAGUAUGACAACCGGCAGGAGCCAUAGGAGUUGUCUUUAUUAUUUUGCAUGACCUGCGUGUCAUUGAAUAACGCCAUGUAAAUUACUUUACUUUGUUGCUAAACGGGUUAGCCAUAGAAGUAGAAGUAAUCGUUGGCGUGACGACUUCAUGAAGACACAAUGAUGGAGAUCAUGAUGAUGGAGAUCAUGGUGUCAUGCCGGUGACGAAGAUGAUCAUGGUGCCCCGAAGAUGGAGAUCAAAGGAGCAUGAUGAUAUUGGCCAUAUCAUGUCACUAUUUGAUUGCAUGUGAUGUUUAUCAUGUUUUUGCAUCUUAUUUGCUUAGAACGACGGUAGCAAGUAGGAUGAUCCCUUAUAAUAAUUUCAAGAAAAGUGUUCACCCUAACUGUGCACCGUUGCGAAGGUUCGUUGUUUCGAAGCACCACGUGAUGAUCGGGUGUGAUAGAUUCUAAUGUUCGAAUACAACGGGUGUUGACGAGCCUAGCAUGUACAGACAUGGACUCGGAACACACGCAAUACACUUAGGUUGACUUGACGAGCCUAGCAUGUACAGACAUGGCCUCGGAACACGGAGGACCGAAAGGUCGAGCAUGAGUCGUAUAGAAGAUACGAUCAACAUGGAGAUGUUCACCGAUCUUGACUAGUCCGUCUCACGUGAUGAUCGGACACGGCCUAGUUAAACUCGGAUCAUGUUUCACUUAGAUGACUAGAGGGAUGUCUAUCUGAGUGGGAGUUCAUUAAAUAAUUUGAUUAGAUGAACUCAAUUAUCAUGAACUUAGUCUAAAAUCUUUACACUAUGUCUUGUAGAUCAAAUGGCCAACGUUGUCCUCAAUUUCAACGUGUUCCUAGAGAAAACCAAGCUGAAAGAUGAUGGCAGCAACUAUACGGACUGGGUCCGGAACCUGAGGCUCAUCCUUAUAGUAGCCAAGAAAGAUUAUGUCUUAGAAGCACCGCUAGGUGAUGCACCAAUCCCACAGAACCAAGACGUUAUGAACGCUUGGCAAUCACGUACUGAUGAUUACUCCCUCGUUCAGUGCGGCAUGCUUUAUAGCUUAGAACGGGUCUCCAAAAGCGUUUUGAGAAACAUGGAGCAUAUGAGAUGUUCGAGGAGCUGAAACUGGUUUUUCAAGCUCAUGCCCGGGUCGAGAGAUAUGAUGUCUCCGACAAGUUCUUCAGCUGUAAAAUGGAGGAGAACAGUUCUGUUAGUGAGCACAUACUCAGAAUGUCUGGGUUGCACAACCGCUUGUCACAGCUGGGAGUUAAUCUCCCGGAUGUCGCGGUCAUUGACAGAAUCCUCCAGUCGCUUCCACCAAGCUACAAGAGCUUUGUGAUGAACUACAAUAUGCAGGGGAUGGAAAAGACCAUUCCCGAGGUAUAUUCAAUGCUGAAAUCAGCGGAAGGGGAGAUCAGAAAAGAACAUCAAGUGUUGAUGGUGAAUAAAACCACUAAGUUCAAGAAGGGCAAGGAUAAGAAGAACUUCAAGAAGGACGGCAAGGGAGUUGCCGCGCCCGGUAAACCAGUUACUGGGAAGAAGUCAAAGAAUGGACCCAAGCCCGGGACUGAGUGCUUUUAUUGCAAGGGAAGUGGUCACUGGAAGAGGAACUGCCCCAAGUACUUAGCAGACAAGAAGGCUGGCAACACCAAAGGUAUAUGUGAUAUACAUGUUAUUGAUGUGUACCUUACCAGCACUCGUAGUAGCUCCUGGGUAUUUGAUACCAGUGCGGUUGCUCAUAUUUGCAACUCAAAGCAGGAGCUGCGGAAUAAACGAAGACUGGCAAAGGACGAGGUGACGAUGCGCGUCGGGAAUGGUUCCAAGGUCGAUGUGAUCGCCGUCGGCACGCUACCUCUACAUUUCCCUACGGGAUUAGUUUUAAACCUCAAUAAUUGUUAUUUAGUGCCAGCUUUGAGCAUGAACAUUGUGUCUGGAUCUCGUUUAAUUCGAGAUGGCUACUCAUUUAAAUCCGAGAAUAAUGGUUGUUCUAUUUAUUUGAGAGAUAUGUUUUAUGGUCAUGCCCCGCUGGUCAAUGGUUUAUUUUUGAUGAAUCUCGAACAUGAUGUUACACAUGUUCAUAGUGUGAAUACCAAAAGAUGUAAAGUUGAUAAUGAUAGUCCCACAUACUUGUGGCACUGCCGCCUUGGUCACAUUGGUGUCAAGCAUAUGAAGAAGCUCCAUGCAGAUGGACUUUUGGAGUCUCUUGAUUACGAAUCAUUUGACACGUGCGAACCAUGCCUCAUGGGUAAGAUGACCAAGACUCUGUUCUCCGGAACAAUGGAGCGAGCAACCAACUUAUUGGAAAUCAUACAUACCGAUGUGUGUGGUCCAAUGAGUGUUGAGGCUCGCGGAGGAUAUCGUUAUGUUCUCACUCUCACUGAUGAUUUAAGUAGAUAUGGAUAUGUCUACCUGAUGAAACACAAGUCUGAAACCUUUGAAAAGUUCAAAGAAUUUCAGAGUGAGGUUGAGAAUCAAUGUGACAGGAGAAUAAAAUUCCUACGAUCAGAUCGUGGUGGAGAAUAUUUAAGUCACGAGUUUGGUGCACACUUAAGGAAAUGUGGAAUAGUUUCACAACUCACGCCGCCUGGAACACCUUAGAGAAAUGGUGUGUCCGAACGUCGUAAUCGCACUCUAUUGGAUAUGGUGCGACCUAUGAUGUCUCUUACCGAUUUACCGCUCUCAUUUUGGGGUUAUGCUUUAGAGACUGCCGCAUUCACAUUAAAUAGGGCUCCGUCGAAAUCCGUUGAGACGACACCGUAUGAAUUAUGGUUUGGGAAGAAACCUAAGCUGUCGUUUCUAAAAGUUUGGGGAUGCGAUGCUUAUGUCAAGAAACUUCAACCUGAAAAGCUCGAACCCAAGUCAGAAAAAUGCGUCUUCAUAGGAUACCCUAAGGAAACUAUUGGGUAUACCUUCUACCUCAGAUCCGAAGGCAAGAUCUUCGUUGCCAAGAACGGGUCCUUUCUAGAGAAGGAGUUUCUCUCGAAAGAAUUGAGUGGGAGGAAAGUGGAACUUGAUGAGGUGAUAGUCACCCCUUCCGAACCGGAAAGUAGCGCAGCGCGGGAAAAUGUUCCUGUGGUGCCUACACCGACUGGGGAGGAAGUUAAUGAUGAUGAUCAUGAAGCUUCGGAUCAAGUUACUGAACUUCGUAGGUCCACAAGGACACGUUCCGCACCAGAGUGGUACGGCAACCCUGUCCUGGAAAUCAUGUUGUUAGACAACGGUGAACCUUCGAACUAUGAAGAAGCGAUGGCGGGCCCGGAUUCCGACAAAUGGCUAGAAGCCAUGAAAUCUGAGAUAGAAUCCAUGUAUGAAAACGAAGUAUGGACUUUGACUGACUUGCCCGAUGAUCGGCGAGCCAUAGAAAACAAAUGGAUCUUUAAGAAGAAGACGGACGCGGAUGGUAAUGUGACCAUCUACAAAGCUCGACUUGUUGCUAAGGGUUAUCGACAAGUUCAAGGGGUUGACUACGAUGAGACUUUCUCACCCGUAGCGAAGCUUAAAUCCGUCCGAAUCAUGUUAGCAAUUGCCGCAUACUAUGAUUAUGAGAUAUGGCAGAUGGACGUCAAAACGGCAUUCCUUAACGGCUUCCUUAAGGAAGAUUUGUAUAUGAUGCAACCGGAAGGUUUUGUCGAUCCUAAGAAUGCUAACAAAGUGUGCAAGCUCCAGUGCUCAAUCUAUGGGCUGGUGCAAGCAUCUCGGAGUUGGAACAUUCGCUUUGAUGAGAUGAUCAAAGCGUUUGGGUUUUCACAGACUUAUGGAGAAGCCUGUGUUUACAAGAAAGUGAGUGGGAGCUCUGUAGCAUUUCUCAUAUUAUAUGUGGAUGACAUAUUAUUGAUGGGAAAUGAUAUAGAAUUCUUGGAAAGUAUUAAGGCCUAUUUGAAUAAGUGUUUUUCAAUGAAGGACCUUGGAGAAGCUGCUUAUAUAUUAGGCAUCAAGAUCUAUAGAGAUAGAUCAAGACGCCUCAUUGGUCUUUCACAAAGUACAUACCUUGACAAGAUAUUGAAGAAGUUCAGUAUGGAUCAGUCCAAGAAGGGGUUCUUGCCUAUAUUGCAAGGUGUGCAAUUGAGCACGGCUCAAUGCCCGACCACGGCAGAAGAUAUAGAAGAGAUGAGUGUCAUCCCCUAUGCCUCGGCCAUAGGGUCUAUUAUGUAUGCCAUGCUGUGUACCAGACCUGAUGUAAACCUUGCCGUAAGUUUGGUAGGAAGGUACCAAAGUAAUCCCGGCAAGGAACACUGGACAGCGGUCAAGAAUAUCCUAAAGUACCUGAAGAGGACUAAGGAUAUGUUUCUCGUUUAUGGAGGUGACGAAGAGCUCGUCGUAAAGGGUUACGUCGACGCUAGCUUCGACAUAGAUCUGGAUGACUCGAAGUCACAGACCGGAUACGUGUAUAUUUUGAAUGGAGGAGCAGUAAGCUGGUGCAGUUGCAAGCAAAGCGUCGUGGCGGGAUCUACAUGUGAAGCGGAGUACAUGGCAGCCUCGGAGGCAGCACAGGAAGCAGUCUGGAUGAAGGAGUUCAUUACCGACCUAGGGGUGAUUCCCAAUGCGUCGGGCCCAAUGACUCUCUUCUGUGACAACACUGGAGCUAUUGCCCUUGCGAAGGAGCCCAGGUUUCACAGGAAGACCAGGCAUAUCAAGCGUCGCUUCAACUCCAUUCGUGAAAGUGUUCAAAAUGGAGACAUAGAUAUUUGUAAAGUACACACGGACCUGAAUGUAGCAGAUCCGUUGACUAAACCUCUCCCUAGGGCAAAACAUGAUCAACACCAGGACGCAAUGGGUGUUUGAUUCAUCACUAUGUAACUAGAUUAUUGACUCUAGUGCAAGUUGGAGACUGUUGGAAAUAUGCCCUAGAGGCAAUAAUAAAUGGUUAUUAUUAUAUUUCUUUGUUCAUGGUAAUUGUCUAUUGUUCAUGCUAUAAUUGUAUUGUCCGGAAAUCGUAAUACAUGUGUGAAUACAUAGACCACAAAGUGUCCCUAGUAAGCCUCUAGUUGACUAGCUCGUUGAUCAACAGAUAGUCAUGGUUUCCUGACUAUGGACAUUGGAUGUCAUUGAUAACGGGAUCACAUCAUUAGGAGAAUGAUGUGAUGGACAAGACCCAAUCCUAAGCAUAGCAUAAAAGAUCGUGUAGUUUCGUUUGCUAGAGCUUUUCCAAUGUCAAGUAUCUUUUCCUUAGACCAUGAGAUCGUGCAACUCCCGGAUACCCUAGGAGUGCUUUGGGUGUGCCAAACGUCACAACGUAACUGGGUGACUAUAAAGGUGCACUACGGGUAUCUCCGAAAGUGUCUGUUGGGUUGGCACGGAUCGAGACUGGGAUUUGUCACUCCGUGUGACGGAGAGGUAUCUCUGGACCCACUCGGUAAUGCAUCAUCAUAAUGAGCUCAAUGUGACUAAGGCGUUAGUCACGGGAUCAUGCAUUGCGGUACGAGUAAAGAGACUUGCCGGUAACAAGAUUGAACAAGGUAUUGGGAUACCGACGAUCGAAUCUCGGGCAAGUAACAAACCGAUUGACAAAGGGAAUUGCAUACGGAUUGAUUGAAUCCUCGACACCGUGGUUCAUCCGAUGAGAUCAUCGUGGAACAUGUGGGAGCCAACAUGGGUAUCCAGAUCCCGCUGUUGGUUAUUGACCGGAGAGGCGUCUCGGUCAUGUCUGCAUGUCUCCCGAACCCGUAGGGUCUACACACUUAAGGUCCGGUGACGCUAGGGUUGUAGAGAUAUAUGUAUGCGGAAACCCGAAAGUUGUUUGGAGUCCCGGAUGAGAUCCCGGACGUCACGAGAGGUUCCGGAAUGGUCCGGAGGUGAAGAAUUAUAUAUAGGAAGUCAAGUUUCGGCCACCGGGAAAGUUUCGGGGGUUACCGGUAUUGUACCGGGACCACCGGAAGGGUCCCGGGGGUCCGCCGGGUGGGGCCACCUGUCCCGGAGGGCCCCGUGGGCUGAAAGUGGAAGGGAACCAGCCCUUAGUGGGCUGGGGCGCCCCCCUUGGGCCUCCCCCCAUGCGCCUAGGGUUGGGAACCCUGGGGGGGAAGCUUCCCCCUUGCCUUGGGGGGCAAGGCAACCCCUUUCCACCCCUUGGCCGCCGCCCCCCCAACCCUAGAUGGGUUUUGGCCGGCCCCCCUCCCAAGGGGGCCAAUAUAAAGGGGGGAGGGAGGGCAGCAACCUACAGCCUUGGGCGCCUCCCUCCUCCCCUGCAACACCUCUCUCUCUCGCAGAAGCUUGGCGAAGCCCUGCCGGAGACCCGCUACAUCCAUCACCACGCCGUCGUGCUAUUGGAUCUCCAUCAACCUCUCCUUCCCCUUUGCUGGAUCAAGAAGGAGGAGACGUCGCUGCACCGUACGUGUGUUGAACGCGGAGGUGCCGUCCGUUCGGCACUCGGUCAUCGGUGAUUUGGAUCACGGCGAGUACAACUCCUCAUCCACGUUCAUUGGAACGCUUCCGCUCGCGAUCUACAAGGGUAUGUAGAUGCACUCCUUUCCCCUCGUUGCUAGUAGACUCCAUAGAUGCAUCUUGGUGAGCGUAGGAAAAUUUUAAAUUAUGCUACAAUUCCCAACAGUAAAACCACAAUGUGAUAUGCCAAUUUCUAUUUACCCUUCAUCAGGACCCUUUUCAUCGAAUCCGUUCCGACUAAAGUGGGAGAGACAGACACCCGCUAGCCACCUUAUGCAACUAGUGCAUGUCAGUCGGUGGAACCUGUCUCACGUAAGCGUACGUGUAAGGUCGGUCCGGGCCGCUUCAUCCCACAAUGUCGCCGAAACAAGAUAAGACUAGUAGCGGCAAGAAGAAUUGGCAACAUCUACGCCCACAACUACUUUGUGUUCUACUCGUGCAUAGAAACUACGCAUAGACCUAGCUCAUGAUGCCACUGUGGGGGAACAUAGCAGAAAUUCAAAAUUUUCUACGCAUCACCAAGAUCAAUCUAUGGAGUAAUCUAGCAACGAGGGGAAGGGGAGUGCAUCUACAUACCAUUGUAGAUCGCGAUGUGGAAGCGUUGCAAGAACGCGGAUGAAGGAGUCGUACUCGUAGCGAUUCAGAUCGCGGUUGAUUCCGAUCCAAGCACCGAAGAACGGUGCCUCCGCGUUCAACACACGUGCAGCCCGGUGACGUCUCCCACGCCUUGGUCCAGCAAGGAGAGAGGGAGAGGUUGGGGAAGACUCCAUCCAGCAGCAGCACGAUGGCGUGGUGGUGAUGGAGGAGCGUGGCAAUCCCGCAGGGCUUCGCCAAGCACCGCGGGAGAGGAGGAGGAAGAGGGAAGGGCUGCGCCAAGAGAGACCGAAAAACUCAUAUGUUGGGCAGCCCUGGACCUCAACUAUAUAUAAGGGGGGGAGGGGGCUGCGCCCCCUCUAGGGUUCCCACCCCAAGGGGUGGCGGCCAGCCCUAGAUCCCAUCUAGGGGGGCGGCCAAGGGGAGGAGAAAGGGGGGCGCCACUAGGGUGGGCCUUAAGGCCCAUCUGGACCUAGGGUUUGCCCCCUCCCACUCUCCCAUGCGCCUUGGGCCUUGGUGGGGGGGCGCACCAGCCCACCUGGGGCUGGUCCCCUCCCACACUUAGCCCACGCAGCCUUCUGGGGCUGGUGGCCCCACUUGGUGGACCCCCGGGACCCUCCCGGUGGUCCCGGUACAUUACCGAUAUCACCCGAAACUUUUCCGGUGACCAAAACAGGACUUCCCAUAUAUAAAUCUUUACCUCCGGACCAUUCCGGAACUCCUCGUGACGUCCGGGAUCUCAUCCAAGACUCCGAACAACAUUUGGUAACCACGUAUAUCUAUUCCCUAUAACCCUAGCAUCAUCGAACCUUAAGUGUGUAGACCCUACGGGUUCGGGAACCAUGCAGACAUGACCGAGACGUUCUCCGGUCAAUAACCAACAGCGGGAUCUGGAUACCCAUGUUGGCUCCCACAUGUUCCACGAUGAUCUCAUCGGAUGAACCACGAUGUCGGGUAUUCAAUCAAUCCCGUAUACAAUUCCCUUUGUCUAUCGGUAUGUUACUUGCCCGAGAUUCGAUCGUCGGUAUCCCGAUACCUUGUUCAAUCUCGUUACCGGCAAGUCUCUUUACUCGUUCCGUAACUCACAUCAUCCCGUGAUCAACUCCUUGGUCACACUGUGCACAUUAUGAUGAUGUCCUACCGAGUGGGCCCAGAGAUACCUCUCCGUUUACACGGAGUGACAAAUCCCAGUCUCGAUUCGUGCCAACCCAAUAGACACUUUCAGAGAUACCUGUAGUGCACCUUUAUAGUCACCCAGUUACGUUGUGACGUUUGGUACACCCAAAGCAUUCCUACGGUAUCCGGGAGUUGCACAAUCUCAUGGUCUAAGGAAAUGAUACUUGACAUUAGAAAAACUCUGAGCAAACGAACUACACGAUCUUGUGCUAGGCUUAGGAUUGGGUCUUGUCCAUCACAUCAUUCUCCUAAUGAUGUGAUCCCGUUAUCAAUGACAUCCAAUGUCCAUGGUCAGGAAACGGUAACCAUCUAUCGAUCAACGAGCUAGUCAACUAGAGGCUUACUAGGGACAUGGUGUUGUCUAUGUAUCCACACAUGUAUCUGAGUUUCCUAUCAAUACAAUUCUAGCAUGGAUAAUAAACGAUUAUCAUGAACAAGGAAAUAUAAUAAUAACCUAUUUAUUAUUGCCUCUAGGGCAUAUUUCCAACAGGUGCCCCCCUCCACCAUAGUCCACCUCGAUAAUACUGUAGCGGUGCUUAGGCAAAGCCCUGCGUUGGUAGAACAUCAUCAUCGUCACCACGCCGUCGUGCUGACGAAACUCUCCCUCAACACUCGGCUGGAUCGGAGUUCGAGGGACGUCAUCGGGCUGAACGUGUGCUGGACUCGGAGGUGCCGUGCGUUCGGUACUUGAUCGGUCGGAUCGUGAAGACGUACGACUACAUCAACCGCGUCGUGCUAACGCUUCCGCUUUCGGUCUACGAGGGUACGUGGACAACACUCUCCCCUCUCGUUGCUAUGCAUCACCAUGAUCUUGCAUGUGCGUAGGAAAAUUUUGAAAUUACUACGUUCCCCAACAGUGGCAUCCGAGCCAGGUUUUAUGCGUAGAUGUUAUAUGCACGAGUAGAACACAAGUGAGUUGUGGGCGAUACAAAUCAUACUGCUUACCAGCAUGUCACACUUUGGUUCGGCGGUAUUGUUGGAUGAAGCGGCCUGGACCAACAUUACGCGUACGCUUACGCGAGACUUGUUCUACCGACGUGCUUUGCACACAGGUGGCUGGCGGGUGUCAGUUUCUCCAACUUUAGUUGAACCGAGUGUGGCUACGCCCGGUCCUUGAGAAGGUUAAAACAGCACUAACUUGACGAACUAUCGUUGUGGUUUUGAUGCGUAGGUAAGAACGGUUCUUGCUCAGCCCGUAGCAGCCACGUAAAACUUGCAACAACAAAGUAGAGGACGUCUAACUUGUUUUUGCAGGGCAUGUUGUGAUGUGAUAUGGUCAAGACGUGAUGAGAUAUAAGUUGUUGUAUGAGAUGAUCAUGUUUUGUUGAAGUUAUCGGCAACUGGCAGAAGCCUUAUGGUUGUCUCUUUAUUACAUAAGAUGAAAGCGCAAAAUAAUUGCUUUACUUUAUCGCUAUGCGAUAGCAAUAGUUGCAAGAGCAAUAGUUGGCGAGACGACCAUGUGACGACACAUUGAUAUUAGAUCAAGAUGAUGGAGAUCAUGGUGUCAUGCCGGUGACGAUAGAGAUCAUGACGGUACUUUGGAGAUGGAGAUCAAAGGCGCAAGAUGAUCAUGGCCAUAUCAUGUCACAUAUUUUGAUUGCAUGUGAUGUUUAUCUUUUAUACAUCUUAUUUUGCUUAGUUUGACGGUAGCUUUAUAAGAUGAUCUCUCACUAAAUUUCAAGAUAAAAGUGUUCUCCCUGAGUAUGCACCGUUGCCAAAGUUCGUCGUGCCCAGACACCACGUGAUGAUCGGGUGUGAUAAGCUCUACGUCCAUCUACAACGGGUGCAAGCCAGUUUUGCACACGCAGAAUACUCAGGUUAAACUUGACGAGCCUAGCAUAUGCAGAUAUGGCCUCGGAACACUGAGACCGAAAGGUCGAGCGUGAAUCAUAUAGUAGAUAUGAUCAACAUAGUGAUGUUCACCAUUGAAAACUACUCCAUUUCACGUGAUCACUUAGAUGAUUAGAGGGAUGUCUAUCUAAGUGGGAGUUCUUAAGUAAUAUGAUUAAUUGAACUUCAAUUUAUCAUGAACUUAGUCCUGAUAGUAUUUUGCAAAUAAUGCUAUAGAUCAAUAGCUCGCGUUGUUGCUUCCCUAUGUUUUAUAUGUGUUCCUAGAGAAAACUAAAUUGAAAGAUGUUAGUAGCAAUGAUGCGGAUUGGAUCCAUGAUCUGAGGUUUAGCCUCAUUGCUGCACAGAAGAAUUAUGUCCUUGAUGCACCGCUAGGUGACAGACCUAUUGCAGGAGCAGAUGCAGACGUAUGAACGUUUGGCUAGCUCAAUAUGAUGACUACUUGAUAGUUUAGUGCGCCAUGCUUAACGGCUUAGAAUCGGGACUUCAAAGACGUUUUGAACGUCAUGGACCAUAUGAGAUGUUCCAGGAGUUGAAGUUAAUAUUUCAAGCAAAUACCCGAGUUGAGAGAUAUGAAGUCUCCAACAAGUUCUAUAGCUAAAAGAUGGAGUACAAUAGCUCAAGCAGUGAGCAUGUACUCAGAUUGUCUGGGUACAACAAUCGCUUGAAUCAAGUGGGAGUUAAUCUUCUAGAUAAGAUAGUGAUUGACAGAAUUAUCUAGUCACCAUCACCAAGUUAGUAGAACUUCAUGAUGAACUAUAAUAUGCAAGGGAUAACGGAAACGAUUCCCAAGCUCUUCGUGAUGCUGAAAUCGACGAAGGUAGAAAUCAAGAAAAACAUCAAGUGUUGAUGGUUGACAAGACCACUAGUUUCAAGAAAAAGGGCAAAGGGAAGAAGGGGAACUUCAAGAAGAACGGCAAGCGAGUUGCUGCUCAAGUGAAGAAGCCCAAGUCUGGACCUAAGCCUGAGACUGAGUGCUUCUACUGGAAAGGAACUGGUCACUGGAAGCGGAACUGCCCCAAGUAUUUGGCGGAUAAGAAGGAUGGCAAAGUGAACAAAGGUAUAUUUGAUAUACAUGUUAUUGAUGUGUACUUUACUAGUGUUUAUAGCAACCCCUAAGUAUUUGAUACUAGUUCAGUUGCUAUGAUUAGUAACUCGAAACGGGAGUUGCAGAAUAAAUAGAGACUAGUUAAGGGUGAAGUGACGAUGUGUAUUGGAAGUGGUUCCAAGAUUGAUAUGGUCAUCAUCGCAGACUCCCUAUACUUUCGGGAUUAGUGUUGAACCUAAAUAAGUGUUAUUUGGUGUUUGCGUUGAGCAUGAAUAUGAUUUGAUCAUGUUUAUUGCAAUACGGUUAUUCAUUUAAGUUAGAGAACAAUUAUUGUUCUGUUUACAUGAAUAAAACCUUCUAUGGUCAUACACCCAAUGAAAAUGGUUUGUUGGAUCUCGAUCGUAGUGAUACACAUAUUCAUAAUAUUGAAGCCAAAAAGAUGCAAAGUUAAUAAUGAUAGUGCAACUUAUUUGUGGCACUGCCGUUUAGGUCAUAUUGGUGUAAAACGCAUGAAGAAACUCCAUGCUGAUGGGAUUUUGGAAUCACUUGAUUAUGAAUCACUUGAUGCUUGCGAACCAUGCCUCUUCGGCAAGAUGACUAAAACGGCGUUCUCCGGAACAAUGAAGCAAGCAACAGAUUUGUUGGAAAUCAUACAUACUGAUGUAUGUGGUCCGAUGAGUGUUGAGGCUCGCGGCGGGUAUCGUUAUUUUCUGACGUUCACAGAUGAUUUGAGCAGAUAUGGGUAUAUCUACUUGAUGAAACAUAAGUCUGAAACAUUUGAAAAGUUCAAAGAAUUUCAGAGUGAAGUGGAAAAUCAUCGUGACAAGAAAAUAAGGUUUCUACGAUCUGAUCGCGGAGACGAAUAUUUGAGUUACGAGUUUGGUAUUCAAUUAAAACAAUGUGGAAUAGUUUCACAAAUUCGUGCCACCUGGAACACCACAACAUAAUGGUGUGUCUGAACAUCAUAACCGUACUUUAUUGGAUAUAGUGCAAUCUAUGAUGUCUCUUACCGAUUUACCACUAUCGUUUUGGGGUGAUGAAUUAGAGACAACUGCAUUCACGUUAAAUAGGGCACCAUCUAAAUCCGUUGAGACGACACCAUAUGAACUGUGGUUUGGCAAGAAACCAAAGUUGUCGUUUCUUAAAGUUUGGGAUUGCAAUGCUUAUAAGAAAAAGUUUCAUCCUGAUAAGCUCAAACCCAAAUCGGAGAAAUGUGUCUUCAUAGGAUACCCAAAGGAGAUAGUUGGGUGCACCUUCUAUCACAGAUCCGAAGGCAAGAUAUUCGUUGCUAAAUUUGGAUCCUUUCUAGAAAAGGAGUUUCUCUCGAAAGAAGUGAGUGGGAGGAAAGUAGAACUUGAUGAGGUAACUGUACCUGCUCCCUUAUUAGAAAGUAGUUCAUCACAGAAACCGGUUCCUGUGACUCCUACACCAAUUAGUGAGGAAGCUAAUGAUGAUGAUCAUGUAACUUCAGAUCAAGUUACUACCGAACCUAGUAGGUCAACCAGAGUGAGAUCCGCACCAGAGUGGUACGGUAAUCCUGUUCUGGAGGUCAUGUUACUUGACCAUGACGAACCUAGGAACUAUGAGGAAGCGAUGAUGAGCCCAGAUUCCGCGAAAUGGUUCGAGGCCAUGAAAUCUGAGAUGUGAUCCAUGUAUGAGAACAAAGUGUGGACUUUGGUUGACUUGCCCGAUGAUCGGCAAGCCAUAGAAAAUAAAUUGAUCUUCAAGAGGAAGACGGACGCUGAUAGUAGUGUUACUAUCUAUAAAGCUAGACUUGUCGGAAAAAAAGGUUUUUGACAAAGUUCAAGGUGUUGACUACGAUGAGAUUUUCUCACUCGUAGCGAUGCUUAAGUCUGCUCGAAUCAUGUUAGCAAUUGCCGCAUUUUAUGAAAUCUGGCAAAUGGAUAAACAAAACUGCAUUCCUUAAUGGAUUUAUUAAAGAAGAGUUGUAUAUGAUGCAACCAGAAGGUUUUGUCGAUCCUAAAGGUGUUAACAAAAUGUGCAAGCUCCAGCGAUCCAUCUAUGGACUGGUGCAAGCAUCUCGGAGUUGGAAUAUACGCUUUGAUGAGUUGAUCAAAGCAUAUAGUUUUAUACAGACUGUUGGGGAACGUAGUAAUUUCAAAAAAAUUCCUACGCACAUGCAAGAUCAUGGUGAUGCAUAGCAACGAGAGGGGAGAGUGUUGUCCACGUACCCUCGUAGACCGACAGCGGAAGCGUUAUCACAACGCGGUUGAUGUAGUCGUACGUCUUCACGAUCCGACCGAUCAAGUACCGAACGUACGGCACCUCCGAGUUCUACACACGUUCAGCUCGAUGACGUCCCUCGAACUCCGAUCCAGCCGAGUGUUGAGGGAGAGUUUCGUCAGCACGACGGCGUGGUGACGAUGAUGAUGUUCCACCGACGCAGGGCUUUGCCUAAGCUCCGCAACGGUAUUAUCGAGGUGUAAUAUGGUGGAGGGGGGCACCGCACACGGCUAAGAGAUCUCAAGGAUCAAUUUUUGUGUCUCUGGGGUGCCCCCCUGCCCCCGUAUAUAAAGGAGCAAGGGGGAGGCAGCCGGCCAAGGGGAGAGGCGCGCCAUAGGGGGGAGUCCUACUCCCACCGGGAGUAGGACUCCUCCUUUCCUUGUGGGAGUAGGAGAAGGGAAGGGGGAAGGAGAAAGAAGGAAGGGUGCGCCCCCCUUCCCUAGUCCAAUUCGGACCAGACCAUGGGGAGGGGUGCGGCCACCUUUUGAGGCCUUUCUCUCCUUUCCUGUAUGGCCCAUUAAGGCCCAAUACGAAUUCCCGUAACUCUCCGGUACUCCGAAAAAUACCCGAAUCACUCGGAACCUUUCCGAAGUCCGAAUAUAGUCGUCCAAUAUAUCGAUCUUUACGUCUCGACCAUUUCGAGACUCCUCGUCAUGUCCGUGAUCACAUCCGGGACUCCGAACAACCUUCGGUACAUCAAAACUCAUAAUAUAACUGUCAUCGAAACUUUAAGCGUGCGGACCCUACGGGUUCGAGAACUAUGUAGACAUGACCGAGACACGUCUCCGGUCAAUAACCAAUAGCGGAACAUGGAUGCUCAUAUUGGCUCCCACAUAUUCUACGAAGAUCUUUAUCGGUCAGACCGCAUAACAACAUACGUUGUUCCCUUUGUCACCGGUAUGUUACUUGCCCGAGAUUUGAUCGUCGGUAUCUCGAUACCUAGUUCAAUCUCGUUACCGGCAAGUCUCUUUACUCGUUCCGUAACACAUCAUCCCGCAACUAACUCAUUAGUCACAAUGCUUGCAAGGCUUAUAGUGAUGUGCAUUACCGAGUGGGCCCAGAGAUACCUCUCCGACAAUUGGAGUGACAAAUCCUAAUCUCGAAAUACGCCAACCCAACAAGUACCUUUGGAGACACCUGUAGAGCACCUUUAUAAUCACCCAUUUACGUUGUGACGUUUGCUAGCACACAAAGUGUUCCUCCGGUAAACGGGUGUUGCAUAAUCUCAUAGUCAUAGGAGCAUGUAUAAGUCAUGAAGAAAGCAAUAGCAACAUACUAAACGAUCGGGUGCUAAGCUAACGGAAUGGGUCAAGUCAAUCACGUCAUUCUCCUAAUGAGGUGAUCCCGUUAAUCAAAUGACAACUCAUGUCUAUGGCUAGGAAACAUAACCAUCUUUGAUUAACGAGCUAGUCAAGUAGAGGCAUACUAGUGACACUCUGUUUGUCUAUGUAUUCACACAUGUAUUAUGUUUCCGGUUAAUACAAUUCUAGCAUGAAUAAUAAACAUUUAUCAUGAUAUAAGGAAAUAAAUAAUAACUUUAUUAUUGCCUCUAGGGCAUAUUUCCUUCACAGACUUGCGGUGAAGCCUGUAUUUACAAGAAAGUGAGUGGGAGCACUACAACAUUUCUGAUAAGUAUAUGUGAAUGACAUAUUGUUGAUCGGAAAUAAUGUAGAAUUAUUCUGCAAAGCAUAAAGGAGUGUUUGAAAGGAGUUUUUUCAAAGAAAGACCUCGGUGAAGCUGCUUACAUAUUGAGCAUCAAGAUCUAUAGAAAUAGAUCAAGACGCUUGAUAAGUUUUUUCAAUGAGUACAUACCUUGACAAGAUUUUGAAAUAGUUCAAAAUGGAACAGUCAGAGAAAGAAGUUCUUGCCUGUGUUACAAAGUAUGAAAUUGAGUAAGACUCAAAGCCCGACCACGGCAGAAGAUAGAAAGAGAAUGAAAGUCAUUACCUAUGCCUCAGCCAUAGGUUCUAUAAAGUAUGCCAUGCUGUGUACCGGAUCUAUUGUAUACCCUACCACUAAGUUUGGCAAGGGAGUGCAAUAGUGAUCUAGGAGUAGAUCACUGGACAACUGUCAAAAUUACCCUUAGUGGAAUAAGGAUAUGUUUCUCGAUUAUGGAAGUGACAAAAGGUUCGUCGUAAAGGGUUAUGUCGAUGCAAGUUUUGACACUGAUCCAGAUGACUCUAAGUCUCAAUCUGGAUACAUAUUAAAAGUGGGAGCUAUUAGCUAGAGUAGCUCCGUGCAGAGCAUUGUAGACAUAGAAAUUUGCAAAAUACUUAUGGAUCUGAAUGUGAUAGGCCCGUUGACUAAAAUUAUCUCACAAGCAAAACAUGAUCACAUCUUAGUACUCUUUGGGUGUUAAUCACAUAGCGAUGUGAACUAGAUUAUUGACUCUAGUAAACCCUUUGGGUGUUGGUCACGUGACGAUGUGAACUAUGGGUGUUAAUCACAUGAUGAUGUGAACUAUUGGUGUUAAAUCACAUGGUGAUGUGAACUAGAUUAUUGACUCUAGUGCAAGUGGGAGACUGAAGGAAAUAUGCCCUAGAGGCAAUAAUAAAGUUAUUAUUUAUUUCCUUAUAUCAUGAUAAAUGUUUAUUAUUCAUGCUAGAAUUGUAUUAACCGGAAACUUAGUACAUGUGUGAAUACAUAGACAAACAUAGUGUCACUAGUAUGCCUCUACUUGACUAGCUCGUUGAUCAAAGAUGGUUAUGUUUCCUAGCCAUAGACAUGAGUUGUCAUUUUAUUAACGGGGUCACAUCAUUAGGAGAAUGAUGUGAUUGAAUUGACCCAUUCCGUUAGCUUAGCACUCGAUCGUUUAGUAUGUUGCUAUUGCUUUCUUCAUGACUUAUACAUGUUCCUAUGACUAUGAGAUUAUGCAACUCCCGUUUACCGGAGGAACACUUUGUGUGCUACCAAACGUCACAACGUAACUGGGUGAUUAUAAAGGUGCUCUACAGGUGUCUCCGAAGGUACGUGUUGGGUUGGCGUAUUUCGAGAUUAGGAUUUGUCACUCCGAUUGUCGGAGAGGUAUCUCUGGGCCCACUCGGUAAUACACAUCACUUAAGCCUUGCAAGCAUUGCAACUAAUGAGUUCGUUGCGGGAUGAUGUAUUACGGAAUGAGUAAAGAGACUUGCCGGUAACGAGAUUGAACUAGGUAUUGAGAUACCGACGAUCGAAUCUCGGGCAAGUAACAUACCGAUGACAAAGGGAACAACGUAUGUUGUUAUGCGGUCUGACCGAUAAAGAUCUUCGUAGAAUAUGUGGGAGCCAAUAUGAGCAUCCAUGUUCCGCUAUUGGUUAUUGACCGGAGACGUGUCUCGGUCAUGUCUACAUAGUUCUCGAACCCGUAGGGUCCGCACGCUUAAAGUUUCGAUGACAGUUAUAUUAUGAGUUUUGAUGUACCGAAGGUUGUUCGGAGUCCCGGAUGUGAUCACGGACAUGACGAGGAGUCUCGAAAUGGUCGAGACAUGAAGAUUGAUAUAUUGGAAGCCUAUAUUUGGAUAUCGGAAGUGUUCCGAGUGAAACGGGUUUAAUGGGCCAUAGUGGGCCUUAGUGGAGAAGAGGAGAGGCGGCUAGGGCAGGGCCGCGCGCCCCUCCCCCUCUAGUCCGAAUAGGACAAGGAGAGGGGGGCGGCGCCCCCCCUUUCCUUCCUCUCUCCCUCCUCUUUCCCCCCUUCUCCUAAUCCAACAAGGAAGGGAGGGAGUCCUACUCCCGGUGGGAGUAGGACUCCUCCUGGCGCGCCUCCUCCUGGCCGACCGCACCUCCCCUCCUUGCUCCUUUAUAUACGGGGGCAAGGGGGCACCCCAAAGACACAACAAUUGAUUUGAUCUUUUAGCCGUGUGCGGUUCCCCCCUCCACCAUAGUCCACCUCGAUAAUACUGUAGCGGUGCUUAGGCGAAGCCCUGCGUCGGUAGAACAUCAUCAUCGUCACCAUGCCGUCGUGCUGACGAAACUCUCCCUCAACACUCGGCUGGAUCGGAGUUCGAGGGACGUCAUCGGGCUGAACGUGUGCUGAACUCGGAGGUGCCGUGCGUUCGGUACUUGAUCGGUCGGAUCGUGAAGACGUACGACUACAUCAACCGCGUUGUGCUAACGCUUCUGCUUUCGGUCUACGAGGGUACGUGGACAACACUCUCCCCUCUCGUUGCUAUGCAUCACCAUGAUUUUGCGUGUGCGUAGGAAAAUUUUGAAAUUACUACGUUCCCCAACAAUAGCCUGCCGCUACGCGAGUGUGGUGGGGCGGGAGGGAUGAAGUGGGGGAGGCCGGCGGCACGAGAAUGUGGAGAAUGGAUGAAAUGGGGGAGGAUGACGGCGCGAGAGUGUGGUGGGGUUAAAAUAGGGGGAGGCUGGCGGCACGAGAGGGAGAUCUAGUGGAUAAGAAUGUUGGGGAUUAUAAAGGGCCCCGCUCUCCCUCCUUUGGGUCGGGCUACAUUUGAGGCGUGGGCCUAGUACCCAAUACUAGUAGUACCACUCAGUCCUGGCGCUGAGACUAUGUUGCACAUCGAUGAUAAUUUUUGUAUACUUGUGUCAAUUAAAGUUUAAUUUUAAAAUUUCAAAUGUUGGUAUGAACUUUCAAGGAAAUGGUAAAACUUUUAGAGUUACGCACCCAAGUUCUCACAUAGCCUGAUCCCAGAUCAGUUGGCGCGCAAGGCACGGGCUCCGUCAGCCGGAGACUCAUCCCAGAUCGGAUCAAUUCCAGCUUUCGGUGGCCUCCCGUCGGGAGAAAGCCUAACUUUCGGAUCCUUCACCUUCACUGCGGACGGGACGGGCUGGAUCGACAACAACCCACCAGCCUCCCUUUCUCACACCGUCUUCUUUGGCGCACUGGCAAUCGUCAUCGACCGUCAAUGUGGCUUCCACGUGUGCGUCCUGCCACUCCAGCAGAUCGCAUCAUCGGUCCCAUUAGGGCCCGCAACGCCUUUAACACCAACCUCCGGCCUCAGGGAUAUCUUUGGGCUCCACAAUGUUGGGGCUGCAUACCAACGGGCGAUCCAGACACAUCUGCGCGGCCGAUAGACACACCUGCGUGGCCGAAUCGGCAGCAACACUGAUGCCUGGUUGGACUCGUUGUCCAUCAGGACCUUGGGGAGCUGGCAGCCGCCGAUGAUUGGGUCCACAACGAGGGUGGAUUUGCCGGGUUUGAGAUGUAAUCUGGGUGAUGUGUUCUCCCGAAGGAGAUUGUGCAAUGUAACUAGUGUAGGUACUGGAGGGUGUCAGGGACAACCUUGAGAGUUUGCUUCUAUGUGCGUUUGUACUUGUGGUCGUGGAAAAUCGGGGACUGCGCCGGCGACUCUGAAUUUAGGCAUAACCUCCACAAUCUCCAAAAACAGAAAGGGCACUUUAAACCGAUUUUGUUGAGGAUAUGAUGCAUCCGUCCAUUUUCAUAUCCUCUUGAUUUAUCAAAAAGAGAGAGCCACGAUGUGUUGUACCAUAAUGUUCACAAAGUUAGCUCGGUGGAGCGGGCGACGGUGGUGAUGGCAGCAGCUAGGGGGUUACGCACCGCAUGCCUUUACUAUAACGGGGAGACGAAGCGGAAGGACGAAGUUCAGUUUUUUGAGCGCUCAACAAAAGUGACCCCACCGUUACCCGUGGACAGUAGGGACACGUGGCAUGUUGUUUACCGAGUGCCACUUUAAUAGCUCUUGGCGAACACUAUGUAGGCCGAGUAUUUACCUUUUGUUGAGUUUUUUUAGAAAGGCUCUCGACAAAAGGCCGCCCUCAGCUGAGGGCCCACUCCGCAAAGGCGAGGUUUACCAACACCCCGUGAAUCGAAUUUAGGAGCUCGAAUAUCGAGGCUCACAAACUAGCAAAGCACGCUUUAUCUCUCGGGGUUGGCCGCCAUGUUUGGUUAGGCCAGCCCAACGAUCUUGGUUUUGUCCCUGUAAACAUUGUGACGACGUAAUAAAGCUUUGCAGUUUGUCUAAAAAAAAAAAACCAACACCCCGUGAAUGAGAACUCGACAAUGACAGUGUUACUCGGCAAACAACAAUUUUCCAGUAGUGAUACUAGAAUCCAACACGCACAGAAUGAUGCCUUGUGGCACUGCUGCCCCAUACCCAUUAAUUUGCAGCAAUUUUCAUGCUCAUCUCUCUCUCACGGUUGUUGGAUGAGCUCGCUAGGUGGUUGCGUAAUCGAAUAAACUAAUGAAACAUGUUUCUGCACUAUGAGCGAAGCACAGUUGCGAUUGAGAGAGAAUCCCUUAAAAUUAAAUUAAGGAGCAAAAUCAUAUAUGUGAGGGCAUGGCAACGAAAACUGACCAUGAAACUUAAUUAAUAUUAGAUUUGUAUAUAUAUAAAAAACAGAAAUAAAAUUGAGUAGAAAACUAAAGGUUCAAAAGUUAUUACACAGUGGCAGUCGUGAGAACACUUCUGACAGAGAAUGAAAAUUUCAGGGACUUUUUUGUAAUAAGUGCAGUGCAACUGAGGGCCAGGGCAGAAGCCCUCCAGGGACCUGCGCGCGAAAUCUCAAAAAAAUUUGGACCAUUUCUCGAUUUGUGCGUGUCAUCCUUGCGCAGGGGCCAUGCUGAUCUUCUCUGUAUCGUUCCAAUUUUAUCGGAUGUCCCCGAAGGGACGAGUCAGCUGCCGCGCUCACGCUUAUAAAACGGUCUGUCUCUCCUCCGCUGGCAGAUGUGGGACUAAACAAACUAGCCUCUGUUUUACUCCACGCGCUGUGAAGCCGGGAGACAUCGGACGCGGGGUGGGCCGCAAGCAGUAGGCUGGAUCUCCCUUGGUGUGGCCCAAAUUAACGGAAGAGCGUAAUGGGCCUUCGUGUUUUCUUAGGGAAGAAUGAGCCUGGUUUGUUUUUUAGAUUGAGCCUUGGUGUUAAGAGCUGACCUGAUAAUGCGUGUAUUAUUGUUCGUAGUUCAAACAUGUAGUACGAGAUGUACCUCUAAAAAUGAAACGAAAAUCUAUCUAUGAGCCCGUCCUGUCAGUCCAUGUGGUUUCUCCUAGAUACUCCCUCCGUUCCUAAAUAUAAGUCUUUUUAGCGAUUUUAAAAUGAACUACAUACGGAUGUAUAUAGACAUAGUUUAAAGUGUAGAUUCACUCAUUUUGCUCCGUAUGUAGUCCAUAUUGUGGAAUCUCCAAAAAGACUUAUAUUUAGGAACGGAGGGAGUAGAAACUAGUAGAAGGAAUGUAGUCAUGUGGCAUGGCUGACCUUGAUGAUGCUAUGAACUACUAACAUUAUUUUUUUUGCGUGACUAUGAACUACUAGCAUUUACAUCUCGUACUGUGUCAUGUGACAUGGCACCUUGAAGCCUUCUUCUUCUUUUAACCGCCGACCAAUAUUUUUUCCGGAUCAUGAAAUUUGACUUGUUAGCUUUUUCCUAAAAAAAAAUCGACUUCUUACUAUGUGAAUACGCAGUUCGGCUUAUUUCUAAAGAUAUCACUGUUUUUCUCGUGUAAAUAAAUGUAAAUAUCUGUGUUGAUGAUGAGCAUUGGAGGUUUUCUUUUGGUUGUUGGUGAAUUUAGAAUGUGGCUAGUCAGGUCUGCCCUUCCCCGGCACGGACGAAAACCUGGCGUAGGUGUCUCACUCUCUGGUUGUCACUGUUUCAUGGAUACACAAAAUUUAUGGAUCAUGAUCGAUUUUGGCUGCAGUUUUUUCUAUUUGUGAUGAUAAAUGCAUGGUACGUCUGAGGUUUUCAUUCUGAAGAGAAGAAGAGGCCUGCAGCCACGGGUCAGUCGCUCUCUUUUACUCUUUCUUUAUCUCUUUAUAAGCAAAUCAUUCUAGAGUGAAUUCGUGGCAAAUUGUCUGAUUUUCGCAGAGAUUUGUAUUUGUAAAUAAAAAGGGAAAUAAAACACGUAUGCAGUGACGCACGUACUGGAGGGGUAGAGCGGCAGUAUUUAUACGGUGUAUGUCUGGAGUUGUUUUGAAGCUAGAAAAACAGUCGGCUCUGUCUGUACACCUGUUAUUAUUACUGUAGCCAGUUUCAGUUAAGGUAGAAUGGCGUGGACGGCCGUGGCGGACGCGAACGCCGGGGGAUUCGGGGUCGGGGCCGCCGGAGUGGGGCAGGUCCUCGACGGCUCCAACCCGGCCAUCGUCCGGCUCCGGCAGCUCGUCGACGGGCCCCAGUCCUCAGGUGCUGCUGCUGGCACGCUCACUCGGCAUGCAAUCCACUGGCUGUAUAUCUGUUACUAUUAGAGACUGAUGAAAUAGUGGCGCAUGCAUGUGUUGCAGAGGGGUGGAGGCGGUGCUGGGAGCAGGGCGUGACGCCGUGGGACCUGGGCGAGCCCACGCCGGCCGUCGUCAAGCUGGUGCAGUCCGGCACCCUCCCCGCCGGCAACGUGCUCGUCCCGGGAUGCGGCGGGGUACGAUGCACAUGCUCUACUCAUGCUGAGAGAUGUACUGUAAAUGAGAUGGUUUGCACUGGCAAUCUCAUGCACGCACUUACGCGCUCUGGCGCUGCAGGGGUACGACGCGGUGGCCCUGUCCGGCGGCGGCCGCUCCGUGGUGGGUCUCGACGUCUGCGACGCCGUCAUCCAGAGGGCCAGGCAGCGCUCGUCGGACGUGGCCUUCGUCUGCGCCGACUUCUUCACCUGGUCACCACCGGAGCCGUUCCAUCUCAUCUUCGACUACACGUACCUCUACCGACCAUACACACUCUCCGACUACUAAACAAGAGUUAAUUAAUAGCUAUGCUUAUGCUCUCAUGAUUAAAUCAAACAAUUAAUAAUGUUUCAGAUUCUUCUGCGCCCUUGACCCGUCGCUGCGGCCAGCGUGGGCGGCGAGGAUGGAGGAGCUGCUGCGGCCGGACGGAGAGCUCAUCACCCUCAUGUACCUGGUAAUCACCCACUAAUCCUACCACUAAGAAGGGAGUAUAAUAUACAGUAUCAGUUGUAAAUAUCAAUCAACCUUCUAAUGAUCAUGCAUGUGUGCAUUUCAGCCUCAAGACCAGGACUCGGGGCCACCAUACAACACGACAGUGCACGAGUAAGCAUCACAUCCCUGCUAAUUUUCAAUUACUAGUAUAAUCCAUCACAGUGUUGAGAGAGACAGAAAUGCCAGUCCUUCAUUUCACUAUUGUCACGUGUGCAGCUACGAGGAGGUGCUGAACCCCCUGGGCUUCGUCAUCCAAUCCAUCGAGGACAAUGACGUGGCGGUCGAGCCACGCAAGGUAUAUAUAUGCCCAGUCAGAAACAAUUCUGGACAGAGUCUACUGUUAGUAUACGUAGCAACAAUUACAGGCUGUACAAAACAGUGUGUGUUAGCUUCAGCCAGUUUGUUCAAAACAUGUCCAGGUAACUUCAGGUGGCAAAUUUUGCUAAUCUAGUUAAUUGUUUUCAGGGGCUGGAGAAGAUAGCAAGGUGGAAGAAGACGGCAGCUGGAGCCGAAACGUCGACAUCAGACGUGCCCUCUGAUAAUCUCUAGUUUCCUUUAAAGAUUAAUUUUAAGGUUUUUUCUUUCCCUUAAAAGGUUACAGUGGAGAGGCAUGUCAUGACACAACACUUCUUAUUAUAGUUACUUAUAAGGUCAAUGUAUGGUUAUCAUGUUAAUGGCACAUUUUAAACAAUGUGUGUGUGUGUGUGUGUUUUCUCUUGAGUAAAGUAUCCUUCACCGAUCGUGAACCAUGUGGCUCAGCCAUGGGAUUUAUGGAUUGGUCUCGCACAUUUUGCUUGUUUGAGAUCAGGGCAACAAAUAUCCGAGUAAUGUUUUAGCAAAGUUGCUCUUCACACAAGUAGUGCACACAUCACGCAGAUGCUAACCUCACGAAACUGGGCUACUCGCACAUGUAAUCCGCAUCAUUAUUGGCGUUGUCUUCCGGAAGUAACCAAGUCAAAAAGCCAUCAAAAGUUUCUCUCUUGAGCCUCUGGGAUGAAUACUCAACAAUCAUGUGCCACAACUCGCCGACGGUCCAUCCGUGGCGUAAUACCCACUGGAUCACCUGUCACAGCAGAAUGAUGCAAAAAAUUAUAAGGCGAAGAGAACAUAAAAGGGGAAUCUGACAGCAUGUGAUUACAGCCGACUCAAUUCGGUGGAGAAAAGAAAAAGGAGGGUCCCUGCCUCCAUCUAGAACCAUCCAUCAUAUCUACUUUUAGGCUUUAGCGUGCAAAUAAGUUACUCCCUCCUUUCCGGUUUAUUAGGCUCAUCUUAGAAAUCACAUCAACUUCAAUCAUUGGUUGAUUUCACACUGAAAACCAAAAUCUAACAGAAUUUGAUGUAGGAUUGCUAUAUUUGCCUAUUCCCAACACAAUUCAGUGAGUGGCCGUGGAACCAUGAACAUGACUAGACAGGCAAAACUACUACAACUUCGAAACUCAGCUAAAUUUUAUUCGUUCUACUUCUGUGCAUAACUGCAUACGCAAAAAUAAAUGUGAAAAGGCUUUCAUAGUAUUGUGAUACCUCUUCUAGUCUUCUAAGUGACCCAUCCUCAAAAGUAUAGUAAUUAACAAAAGGUCGGUGUGCCUGCAAAAUAAGAAAGCCAAGUAUAUUUGAUUACUCCAACAAUGUUGAUAGUUGAAUUUAUCGGUAUAGACAUUUAACUGGGAACAGACAGAUGAACCCUAAUUGAAAAUUCCACUGCGUGAUGUAACAUCUUUCCUGUACCUGUGAUGCAGCAAGCCACUGAAUCAUGCUCUUAAUUUCAGGGUUUCCACCAAAAGCCCCACAACCCCAGUUUCCGGUUGAAACUCCUAUACAGUCAACUGAGUUGACACUUGGAUGAUUAUCCUUGGAAUUAGAAUCCUGGAACCAUGUGUUAAAAGUUAAAAAAAAUGAUCAAAAGUGAACAUAUAGACACCACCUUCUAAUGGCGUGCAUGUAUUUUAGGUCACUACUUAUCAUGUUAGACCUCAUUUGAAAUUAUAUACAUGUGCAGCAGAAGUUCAUUCCGACAGUUUAUUACUUUAUUGGUCGACGGACAUAAAAUAAAUGAUAGGGGCAAAUACAUGCUAUCAAGUCAUUUUCUGAACCUUAGCAGAGAUGGAGAUGUUAGACGAUGUUUGCCACUUGUGUUUGAAAUUAGGUAAUUCAUAGGAGGAUUCAAUUAACAGCAACUUCAGGACUCGUUAGGUAAACACCUGGAAAGGCUUCACAUCGAACUGAUGCUUUGAUUGAUCCAAAAAACCAACAAAUGCUUUGUUCACUUCCCUGCAGAGAUGUAGUACCGAUGAAAACGAAUUAGGAAAACAAAUACAACUAUACAACUAUAUUUCGUUUACGAACGAUAGCGACCACAACAAGCUACCAAUAAAUUAUGAAAUACUGUCAUACAUUGAAGUGAAACAAGAACAAGACAUACCUUAAAAGACCACUAGUUUCAUACUGUAACUUAGUUGGACAGUCCAAGGCAUCAAUUGCUACAAUCCUAGUUUUUCGUCGACCCAUUGCAUCAAGGGGCUUCGUAUCUAAAUAAUCACCGACAAAGCGGAAUGAGGAGCCGUACCUGUAAGAAGCAAAUGAAGUGUCCAUUUACAAUGUAAAAAUCAUCCAGUAUUGUGGAAAUGCCAUAGCUAAUUAGUAUUGCCGGACUUUUUCUUUUCAUUUAUGAACUAAAUCAAGCGAAGGGUGGAAAGAUUUAAACUAACCCCAUAUACUGUGAGAACCUUUCCGCACCGACAAUUUCUAUAGCCUCAUUAUCUUCCAUUGAGGCCAUGAAGAGCAUGCCUACAAUCAGUUCUGGGUUUAUCAUGAAACGGAUCUCUUCCUGUACCAUAGAAGAAAUAUAUCAUCUAUAAGAGAACCAUAAAAACCUUGCAUCAUUGUAAAUUAUCUUAACUAAUCAACUUGCACAACAUCAAGAUGUGCUAUCCAGCAGAAUGAUGACAUAGCAUGAAGGUACUUCAAUUCACAUCAGACACCCAUGAAGUCAAAACUGGUCUUAAGAUAGUGACUGGCUCAACAAUAAUUUUCCAUGUAGCAUAGAAGAUGAUGGAUAAGUGACAUACAAUUCAUACAAAACGAAUGUAGGAAUAUAUUCUAAAACUAGUGCUAAACAAAUAACGCCUCAUAAUUAAUGCAAUCCAUGGAACAUUGACGAGGUAAUCUACUAAUCAGGAAAAAGAGACCUGCACACAGCCCCUGGAAAGUGCACCUCCUCCCAGAUAUUUAUUAGCAAAGUCAACCUCGAGGGCUUCUUCUUCCUCAUCUUCGAUCAAACCCGAGGAAAUUACCUACUAAUGAAAAGAAAACAAACAAUCAGCAGACUCCAUAAUAAUUGUAAAGACCAUGAGGCAUUUUGAUAACAUUAUGAUAAAAGAUAACCCUAGCUGUUCCUAAUAUGUACUCCAGUGUCACAGAGUUAUCUAUUCCAGCCUUAUUUCCAUUAUCAUGCCAUACCAGGAUAUAGAUAAUUUAUCAUCCUGCAUAGCAUCAUCCAAAUGUUGAGGACACAUGAUGGAGAACAAACAGAUAACAUAAAAAAAGACCCAAGACAUUUACUUUUCCACUGUGUCCAAAGCAUGCCUGCCGGGUGAUGCUAAUUUGCAAACAAACGGUUAUUCUAAAUAGACCUUCAUAGAACGACAACAAAAUUCAAUAAAAUAGUCGUGGCAAAUUUGCUCAGCACUCCUAAGAUCUCAUUACAGGAAACUACUCACAUCUAAUUGAAUACACCUUCACCCUUAUGGUUUAGCUUUAAUAUUUUCUUGACACUUGAAGAAAAAACCACAGGCAUGGUACUACGAGCAAGUUGAACUUCAUGUAACAUACACCAGUUGCCUGUUUCGGGUUUCCAAAUACCAAAAUGACCCCACAUGUCUGAGAUGGGAAAAUGUUGUCUCCGAGGAUGCCUAGGACAAUGGUUAUAGGCCAAAAUAUGACUGGAAAUGUGAAAUAUGAAGACAAGUAGCUGUUCUGUGUUGUUACAAGACCGGAUUGUCGUCUUGAUAUUGCUUGAGCAGCUAAAUCUCAGCUACCUGGUUGUUAAUAGAUACCAAUUAAUCAACUUCACGCAAGCUAUGUCACAUCAUGUAAAGAGGAAUAUGGUCUGAAACAAUGCUGGCUACAAGUUCAGCUUUGAUUUAACCAACGCAGGUGAACCCAAAUAACUUGCACACUAUAUAAUUUCAGAGGAGCCCUGCAGAAGGACUAAAAUGGAGCAUAUGAAGCCACUUACCCGGAAUGGGCAUAGGGGCACGCUAGAUUUCAUCCAGGCAUCACUGUCAGGGUAGGUAACACCACCGGAGAGGGAGCCGCGCGGAAGAACCUUGCGCUCAAACGACACAAAACCGGCAGGCGUAGACGCAGUCACCCUCUCGAAAUAGUGAGCAAUGCACCUCACUUUGUGCUCCUGGCUCUGCCUCGCAUUGUUAGUCAGUGCCCUGCCAAACCAUAGAAGCAUAGGAGAUCAAAAAUAAGAACAGCUAGUCAAUUUGACACUACAAGGUUUAAUUAAACCCUAGGACACCCAAAUGAGCCGAAAUUGAUGGCAUACGAGAACAAGGCGUCGAAAUUGAUGGCCGGGAGGCGGGCCUCGCCGCGGCCGGCGGUGGGGAACAGGCAGAAGAGCGCGCAGGCGAGCAGCGCGGCGGCGAGCUCCUGGCCGAGGAGCACGAAGCCCGCGUCCUGAGACCCCAGGAGGCGGAGCCCGGUCGCGGCCCGGGCGCCGGCGUAGUGGCCCUCGAGCAGCGCGGGGAGGCGGAGGAGGAGGCGCGCGAGGCGCGGGAGCACGUCGGAGAACCAGUCCCGCGCGUGGGCCCGCGAGAGGAGGUCGUCGAAGAAGAGCGCGUAGCCCUCGGCGGCGCGCGCGGGGAGCGCCCGGAGGGCCAGGGCCUGGCGGAGGUCGCUGAGCGCGUCGGCGAGGACGUCGCCGGAUGUGACCCGGCUCACGUCGGGGCCGAGGGACAGCGCCCUCAGCUGCUCCUGCGCCGCCGCAGGCCAGAACAGCGCCCCGCCGCGCAGCACCACCGGGAGCUGCGGCAGGAUCGAUCGCAGGUCGCCGCGCGCCUCCAUCUCCAUUGCUGCUCUCUCUCUCUCUCUCUCUCUAGCUUCGUUUGCGUCGUCGUUGGGCCUCAAUGUGUAUUCUUUUGUUGGGCCAAACACGGGCUCGUGUCGGCCCAUGUAAGCAGCUCGGCCCAGUCGAGACACUGGACCGAAGCUUAUCCAUCCAUUUCCAGCUCGUUGGUUCCUCUGCGGCUCGAAGCUCUCUUUGCCAUGGGAGUGGAGACGGUCGAGCAAUGGCCGCCAAGCUCCUGCCGGCGACAGCAAGCCCGCCGCCGCGCCGCGGCCUCCGGCGCGAGACGGCGGAGGUGGUGCGCGACUGCAAGAGACUGGACGGGCUCAUGAAGGCCGGCAGGGUGGCGGACGCCCUGGACUUGUUCGACCGGAUGCCGCGCAAGAACGUCGUGGCGUGGACCUCGGCCGUGUCCGGGCUGGCACGCAACGGCCGCCCGGAGGCCGCGGUUGAGAUGUUCGCGGGCAUGGUGGAGUCCGGCGUCGCGCCGAACGACUUCGCCUGCAACGCGGCGCUGGCGGCGUGCGCGGCCGCGGGCCCGGGCGCGCUCCUCGCCGGGGAGCAGCUGCACUCGCUCGCCGUGCGUGCGGGGCUCGCCGGGGACGCGUGGGUCGGGAGCUGCCUGGUCGAGCUCUACGCACGGUGCGGCUCCACGCGCGCGGCCGAGGCCGUGCUGGCCCGGAUGGAGUCGCCGGACGUCGUGGCGUACACCUCGCUCGUCUCGGCGCUCUGCCGGGGCGGCGAGUUCGGGAUGGCGGUGGAGGCGCUCGGCAAGAUGGUGGUGCGGGGAGUGGAGCCGAACGAGCACACGGUGACGAGCAUCCUGGCGGCGGCGUGCUGCCCGCUGGUUCUCGGCCUGCAGAUACAUGGCUACAUGAUCAAGGCGAUGGGCUCGUCACAGAGCGUCUACGCGUCGAGCGCGCUGAUCGAUCUCUACUCAAGAAAUGGCGAGCUCGACAUGGCGAAGACGGUGUUCGACAACCUCCAGUGCAAGAACGUGGUCACCUGGUGCACCAUGAUGCAGCUGCACAUCAGAGAUAGAAGGCCGGAGGAUACACUGCAGCUGUUCGACGAAAUGAUCUCGGAGGGCCUUGUCGAUCCCAACGAGUUUGCAUUCUCAAUUGUCCUUGGUGCCUGUGAGUCCAUCGCUCUGGGGAGUCAGCUUCACUCCUCAGCCGUCAAGCGUGGCCUGGCAAGCGAUCUCCGGGUGUCGAAUGCCCUGCUCUCCAUGUACGGCAGGAGCGGCCUCGUCCAAGAACUCGAGACCAUGUUCCGUGGCAUCGAGGAUCCAGACAUUGUCAGCUGGACAGCAGCAAUCUCUGCAUACUUCCAGAACGGCCAUGGUGAGAAGGCCAUAGCACUGCUCUCCCAGAUGCACUCACAAGGUCUCACGCCAAACGACUAUGCCUUCUCCAGCGUGCUAAGCUCCUGCGCAGACCUGGCAUUGCUGGACCAAGGGAGGCAGUUCCAUUGCCUGGCCCUGAAGCUAGGAUGCGACAUGAAGACCUGCACCGGGAAUGCGCUGAUCAACAUGUACUCCAAGUGUGGCCAGAUCAUGCCCGCGAGGCUCAUGUUCAACGUCAUGGAUCACCGUGAUGUAACGUCCUGGAACUCGCUGAUCCACGGGUACGCGCAGCAUGGUGAGGUGGACAGGGCGUUGAAGGCGUUCAGCGAGAUGUGUUCCAAUGGCGGUGAGCCCAAUGAGUCGACGCUCUUGGGAAUCCUAGCAGCUUGCAACCACGCCGGGCUGGUGGACGAAGGUGUGGCAUUCUUCAGAUCAGCAAUGGCCGGCCGGUAUGGCGCCUUCCUGACACCCUCACACUAUGCCUGCGUGGUCGACAUGCUGGGCCGUAGUGGCAGGUUCGACGACGCGCUCUGCCUGAUCGAGGAGAUGCCUUUUGAGCCCGGCGUCCUAGUGUGGAAGACGCUGCUGGCGUCAUGCAGGCUGCACGGCAACCUGGAGACGGGGAGGCUCGCCGCCGAAAAGCUCGUGGAGCUCUCAGACCAGGACUCGGCAAGCUACGUGCUGAUGUCUGGCAUACAUGCGAUGCACGGGGAGUGGCGUGACGCCGACAUGGUGCGGCAGGGGAUGGACGAGGCUGGGGUGAGAAAGGAGGCCGGGCGCAGCUGGGUGGAGGUCAGGAACGAGGUGCACGCCUUCGUAGCCCAAGACGCGUCUCACCCAGACUCGUCGUCCAUCUACCGGAUGCUCUGGGAAUUGUCUGAUGCCAUGCGAGAUACAGCCUAUGACGAAGAUGUUGAAUUGUUGGAUGUACAUAUGCAGAUUUAGAUGUGAAAAAAUUAGUGAAUAUCCUACUAGGUUCGUCCAGUUCUGUCAAGGUAACUGAGUCUUUGUUCCUUUCCUAUUGCCACUUUCAUUACACUGUUCUUUGUAGCUACUGGUAUAAGCUUACAAAUAUGUUAGUGAUAGGUGCUGUAUGCUAUGUAGGAUAGCAAUAUCAAAUUAUCAAUAGCAUAUUGUUUUCAGUCUGUAACAAUUAAAAUGUGCUGCAGAAAGUUGAUUAAAACACCUUUCAGUGUGACAUCGACGAUUGCUAUGCUUUAGUUUUAUUUACUUACCCUAUUUGGCAUUAGACUCACUAGUAAACUGGGUUUAUAACUUCCAAGGAACCAUCCUGUAUUUUGAUAUUCUUAGACUGUAUGCAGGUGUGGCUGUAGCAUGCCUUCUCAAGUACUCCAGGUGUGGCACUACACUAACUAAUCACAUGAACAGAACAGACACUUCGCUACGAGUUACACUGACAGUUUGGACUGUGACUUAAAAGAUUGCCUCGGAACGUCAACCAAAUGAGCUAAUUUCUCUAGAUAGCUGAAGUGAAUGAGGGAAGAAGCUUGUCUUCUCCGAGGAGAGAAUUUUCUUUACAAGUUCUCAAGAAGAUUGGUGAUACAUAUGAUGGAUUUGUCAGUUCAGUGUUCCACUAUGGUGCAUUGGUUCACCUGUGAUUUCCUGAUGGCACUGGCCAUACCUUUGGUCAUUUUUGUUGUAAAUAUUCCAGAGUUUGACAUUAAAAAUGCCUAAACACGAAGUUACUGAUCUUGUACAUACCUCUGAGCAGUGGCGGAGCUAGCAGAAAAUCGCUGGGGGCGAAACACAAAUCAUCAGNNNNNNNNNNNNNNNNNNNNNNNNNNNNNNNNNNNNNNNNNNNNNNNNNNNNNNNNNNNNNNNNNNNNNNNNNNNNNNNNNNNNNNNNNNNNNNNNNNNNNNNNNNNNNNNNNNNNNNNNNNNNNNNNNNNNNNNNNNNNNNNNNNNNNNNNNNNNNNNNNNNNNNNNNNNNNNNNNNNNNNNNNNNNNNNNNNNNNNNNNNNNNNNNNNNNNNNNNNNNNNNNNNNNNNNNNNNNNNNNNNNNNNNNNNNNNNNNNNNNNNNNNNNNNNNNNNNNNNNNNNNNNNNNNNNNNNNNNNNNNNNNNNNNNNNNNNNNNNNNNNNNNNNNNNNNNNNNNNNNNNNNNNNNNNNNNNNNNNNNNNNNNNNNNNAGCUCCGCCACUGCCUCUGACGUAUCUUGCUAUCUUGUCCAAGAUUUUGUAAAUGAAGGUGAUAUCAUCAAGAUCAUAUUGAUACGUAAGUAUCUUCUACUACAUAUUUCUGAAGUCUCUUGGUAUCUAGGUGAUCAAAUUUUGAAUUUUUGGUGCAGAACAUUUUGUAGAUUCUACCAACGAGAAGUAGUAUAUGCAAUUUCAAGUGCACACCUAGUUUGUCGGGCCUGAAAGUAUGAGCGUCCUCACCCCAAACGCCCGGGUCCCGCCCGAUGGCCCAGGCGUUCACCAUGACAGGCAUUGCUGCUGGGAUCUGGUACCCGUCGAGGAGCCGCACCCUGUCCAUGGACAGGUGCGGCCCGAGCAGGGGCGCUGGAGUAUGGAGAAGAUGGAGUGCGGUACACGGCUCCCGUGCGACACGCGACUUCCGUGCGACACGCGAUCUCCGUGCGACAUGCGACUCCGAUGCGACUUCGUACCAUCUCGGUACGGCGCUGCUGAUUUUCCGGUCGGGUUCGAUUCGCUGGUGAGUGCGGCGUUUGGAGCACGUCGACGCGGAUGGGGUGGUGGUGGAUGCACGGAGCUGGCGCGACGACGCAGGGUUCCAGGUGGGCCAGAUGGUGGUCUUCCCUUGCCAUCUGGCGCGGCUCGCGGCGGCUGACCGGUGGGGCGACUCCGGGGCGGUUACCGAGGUGAGUAAUGGCGAGAGGGGGGAGGGAGAGAGGUUAUUAGGCCGACGCAUCGGCUCUCCACCACUUCCUCCCUCACAGUUCCUAUCCAAAAAAACCACCGCGACUCGCCGCUCCAAGGGUUAGGGUUUGAUGACGACGCGCGAGCAGCAGAUGUGGGCGCUGUCCGCCGGCGACAAGGUGCUGAUGGGGAGAUUGAAGGAGAUAGAUCGAUGGUUUCCAACGGCGAAGGCACUCAACGAUGCAUCAGGGAUGGUGAGAGACAAGCUGAGGGGGGAGGAAAUCCUCAGGUGCUUCCCCAACCACGACCGCCAGCCGGCGAUGGGGGUGCUUCUCUGGGCGAUGCUCAAGGCGGAGUCUCUGAUUCCGAAGCAGAGGAAGAAGUGGAAGGUGUUCCGCUCUCUUCGCUACCGCCAAAUCCAGCCGCAGGCGCCGCCGCAGGAGGUGGUGGUGGGGAUCCCGGCUCCGGGAUCCAGGUGGCUCCCGAUCGAGAUCGAGGAAGACGAGGUGGUGGCUGUGCCACCAAGGCGCAGGGCCAGGGCGCCAGCGACCCCGACCACACUUCCUCGCCGCUCACCCCGCUUCCCGAGGCGCUCGCCGGCCGGCAAUCGUUUUUGGUUGCUGGACGGUGAGGGCUCCGAGGAGGAGGGGGAGGAGGAGUCCCCUGACUACUCUGCAGGUAUGGACAAAAUCUCCAAAUACUUGAUAUCUACUACUUCAAUUGAGGUAGAUGAUGCUAGAAAUGGGGGGAAAAGGGUAAAAAGGGAUCUCGUGAUGUUAGUAGGAACAAAAAAGGGUCUCAAUCCCAAAUUGCAGACGACUGCGAUGGAGCUUACUAUGAUGGUAAUAGUUUGGGAAGUAAGAGAAAUGAGAAGGAGAAAAGGGAAGUCAAAUUAGGGGAUAAUUUUAAAAAAAAUGGGUUUAGAUGCUCAUAUUGUGCAUAAUCAUAUGAAAAAGGACAAAAUACAUCCUAUUAUGUCCUGGUAUGAUGAGGAUGGAAUUGGAUUUAGAUAUGCAGAGAACUCCCAUUGGGGCAUAUUUGGCUCCAAAAGAGGAAGAAAUGGAAAGAAAUAAAGAUGAGGGGCUUUUGAGACCCCUGAUUAUUUUUGGGGGCUCAGUGGGGCAAGAUUUGAAUAUAGAUGUAGGAGUGGGCCUUGCUUGGUGGAGGCCUAGUGGGCUUGAUAGCAGCCCAGCCCAUAAAGUGGAUCCGGGGCUGGUAGGUAUAAAGGUGGGAGAGAAGGGGAAAGGGAAGCAAUCCCACCACAUAGGGUUUCCCCCUCCUCCUCUCACACCGCCGCCAGCAGGCAGAAUGGCUGGAAACUUUGGGAGAGGUUAUGGAGGUCCCAGAUUCAAUCGAGGAGGUGAGAGUGGGUAUCCUGGGGGAGAUUCAACUAUGCUGGUAGAGGAGGGGGAUGGAAUGGAGGUAGAUAUACUUCAACAGAGAGAGCUGGUGGUUUUGGAAGAGGUGGUGGCACAUCUGGUGCAGGAAAUGGAGUUGGCAGAGGAUAUGGAGAUGAAGAAGAAUUUGCUGCCGAAGGAAAUGGAGAAAAUCUGGUGUGGCAAGCUAAAACUGGGAAGAAAGAGGUAGUGGAAGACAAUAUUAAAAGAGCUAAUGGUGAGGGGGGGAUUCUGGAGCAGAGAGGGGAAAAGAGAAGGAACAGUUGAUUCAGAAAGAUCAAAAUACACAGCAACAGUUGCUAGCUUCUCUGCUCUCUCAAUUAGUGCAAGGAUUAAAGGGGAGUGAGAAGGAGCAAAUUGAAGGAAUGUUAGGAAAACCUCUGGGUAUUCAGACUGGAAGAGAUGUUCAAAGGAAAGAGGAAAAUAAUGGAGAAUCUAUGCAAAGAGCUGAUAAAAGAUUUGAACAAGACCCAAUGAUGGAGAUGAAGAAACAGGGGGGCGGAGGCAAUUGGCAGUUGAACUUGGAAGAUAAUAAGAAAGGGAUGGACAGAUUCAACAAGCAAGUUUGUGGUAAAUACAAAGAUGCUAGACACUCUACCAGAGAAUGCAGGGUAGGACACUGUUUGAUUUGUGGAAGGGAUAAUCAUAUCACCAGUGAGUGCAACUUGCUGAAACAGAUGAAGCCAGUGCCAAAAUAUGUUGGAUAUGCUGCUAAGGGGCUGGGAAUCUUGUUGGUCCAGAGCUAUAAAGAUGUGCUAGUAGCUGAACACACAAACCCUCUGGGUGUGGUGAUUGUUAGAGAAGGGCAGAUCAAUGAAACUAAACUAACCAAGACCCUGGGAGAGAUGUUUGAUUGGGGAUGGCAAUGGAGAGUUAAAGAAUUUGGGGAAAAUGGCUUUAUGAUGAGAUUCCCCAAUAAGGCAAAACUGAUAGAAUUGGCAAAAUUCAAUGAUUUUAAUUUGCUGGGGACAGGGGUGGUGAUCAAAGUUCAACCCUGGUCCCUGGAUCAUCAGGCAGUGGGAAAAAUGCACACAGCUUGGAUUAAAUUGAAUAAGGUGCCCGACUGUUUCAGACACUUCUUGGGCAUUUGUGAGGUUGCUGCUGCAGUGGGGCCUGUGCUAGAAGUGGAUAUGGAUACAAUAAAUGAGGAGAAAAUGAGGGUCAAAUGUGGGAUCAGAGAUGUGGAAAGAAUUCCACCCCAAGUGGAAAUCACUGCCCCUGAUUUGCUCAUGUUCAGGAUUGGUACAGAGGUUAAUUGGCUGGUAUAAAGAAGAAAAGAGGAAAAAUGAAAAUAUAUGCAACCUAGAGGAUGGAGAUGGUGAAACAGAAAACAGAAAGAGAACAAAGAUGGAAGAUACAGAACACAAAGGCAUUGCACUGGGAUGCUUAUCUCUUAAGCAAAGUGAGGAGAUAGAUGGGAAAAUUGAAAAAAUGAGAUCACAAGUGGAAGAGAGCAUGAUGCAAUAGCAAACUGAGAUGAACACAGAGAGAAGGAAGUGGCAAAAAGAAAGUGACAUUAUGUUUAGUAAGAUUAAAUCUCUGGAAGAGGACAAAGUCAGACACAGUGCAUUGUGGGCUAAGGCUGAAAAAAGAAUCAAGGAGCUUGAGAGUAAUCAACAAAAUAUGCAGGACAUGAUGAGACAGCAACAAAAAGAGAUCCAGAAACUAAUUCAAGAGGCUGCUAAUAGAGAACAGUAUGAAAUGGGGUUAGCUAAUAUGGAUUUGGAGGAUUAUGAAAAGGAAAAUCAACAGAGAAAGGAUGAAACUGAUCUGGGAAAUACAAUGAACCUACUGACUAUAAUGCCAGUCAAGAAUCAAUAGGGACCCUGGGUGAAAAAAUGGCUGACAUACAUGGAGCUGAGGUCCUGGAAAAAGAUGGGGAGGAGAGAGAAGUGGAAACUAAAAGAAGUCUCAGGAACAAAGGAAAAGAAGAUCAGAAAAUAGAGGAGAUGGCAAAAAUCAGAGCUGAAGAAAGAGACAAUUAUGGUAAGAAUCUUGAUUCUGAAUUUACAAACUCUUCUUUAUUACAAAUUAGUUCUGUGGUGGGGAUUGAUUUAGGAUGUUCCAUUGAUAUGAUUGAUAGAAACCUAGAUAUUAUCAAUAAAAUGGAGAUGGCUAGGAGGGAUAUAUAUUUCCAAAACAUUAAAAGAGAAAAAAAUGAUGGGGAGAGGGAGACAAAAGAGAUAGAGAAAGAAAAGAAGGACACACCAGUAUACAUUAAUAUUGGGGAUGUGGAUAUCGAUGGAUUAUGCUCUGAUUUGGAUCAUUCUGAUGCUGAGAUUGAGGAACAGCAAUACAAGAAUCUGAGAGAGAUGUUCUCAGGGAAGAAAAGUGGUAAAAAAAGCUCACCAGCCUUAGACUGUGUGAAGCAAACAAUUGGGAUUGGGGCACUAAGGAGGAGAAUAAAAGGGAAGAAGACUAAUUAGUCUCUAACCUGGAAAGCAAUAUAAGAUUGACUGGGAUAUUUGGGAGAAUCUUAUAUAAAUAAAAAUACUUCAAAAAUGAGAGGAGUUUUCUAGAAUGUUAGAGGCAUAGGACAGCAUCAUAAAAAAAGAUAUAUUAGGGAAAUGAUCAUAGAUCAGAGGUUAUAUUUUAUUGGGAUCUCUGAAACAAUAAAACAAGACUUUACCAAGAAUGAGCUGCACAAUCUAUGUGGAGGUAAAAAUUACCAAUGGUGUUGGAAUCUCCCUAGAGGGAUGUCUGGUGGGAUUCUAGUUGGCAUUAAUAAAGAUAUGUUUGAUGUUGAGUGUAUUGAAAAAGGACAAUAUUUUUUGAGAGUGCUAGUAUUUGAUAAGAAUAUCAAAAUGCAUUGGAAUCUGAUCACUGUAUAUGGAGAUGCACAAAGAUAAGGGAAAGCCAGCUUCCUAGCUGAGCUUGCCAGAUUAUAUCAUGAUAACCCUCUGCCAUGUUUGGUUGGAGGUGACUUUAAUAUCAUUAGAAAUGACAAGGAAAAGAACAAACCUAUGAUAAAUGAACAGUGGUCCUUUAUGUUUAAUGCUAUAAUUGAACAAGCUGGAUUGAGAGAGCUACCUUUAAAUGGGAGACAAUACACCUGGGCAAAUAACCAGGAGGACCCCACAUAUGAGAAGUUGGACAGGGUAUUAAUGUGCCUAGCCUGGGAAGAGAAAUAUCCAUUAACUAUUUUGCAAGCCUUUGCUAGGGAAAUUUCUGAUCACACCCCUUUGUUCCUAGACACGGGGGAGACACAAAAUCACAAAUACACAUUCAGAUAUGAGAAUGCAUGGAUUUUGAGAGAUGGAUUCAAAGAGUUAGUAUCUAAAACAUGGAAUGAAAGAUAUAUGGGAAAUGUUUUGGAGAGAUGGCAACUUAGAAUGAGAAAUUUAAGGAAAAAAGCUAAAGGUUGGAAUAAGAACAUGGAUGCCUGGUAUAAAAAAAUCAAGAUUGAAAUUAUUAAAAAGUAGGAUGAAUUAGAGAAGAGAGCUGAGAUAAUGGGUUUAACUGCUGCAGACAGAACUGAGCAGAAAGAGCAUAGAGCUCAACUAAAAAGAGUUAUGACACAAGAGGAAAUGAAGUGGAUACAGAGAUAUAAAGACAAAGAGAUUAAAGAUGGAGAUGGAAAUACUAGAUACUUUCAUGCAAAAGUAAAUGGGAAGAUAAGGAAGAACAGAAUUAUCUCUUUGGAGCAAGAUGAAGGGAUCAUAGAAGGAGAUCACAGACUGAUGGAGUAUAUAACUAAAUUCUAUAAGGAAUUAUUUGGACACCCUGAAGAGUCUAAUAUAUCUCUGAGGGUAGUGGAAAUGAAAAAGAUCAGUUCACAAGACAAAUAGGAGCUAUUGGCCCCUUUCUCCCUAAAUGAAAUCCAUCAGGUAGUUUUUGGGAUGAAAAGAAACAAAAGCCCGGUACCAGACAGGUUCCCUGCUGACUUUUAUCAAUAUUUCUGGGAUCUGGUCAAGUGGGAUCUGAAAGCUCUGGUUGAUGGUUUUGCCAAGGGUGAAAUUAAUAUUGCCAGGCUUAAUUAUGGCAUCAUUACUCUUGUCCCUAAAACCAAUGAUGCCAAGCAAAUUCAAAAAUUUAGACCAAUAUGUCUUCUGAAUGUUAGCUUUAAGAUCAUUACUAAAGUGCUAAUGAAUAGGUUGACUAAUUAAGUGUGUGUCACCUGUGAUCUCUAGAACCCAAACUGCAUUUAUUAAGGGAAGGUAUAUCAUGGAAGGGGUGGUUAUUUUACAUGAAGCUCUGAACACGUUCUAUAAAGACAAAGAAGAUGCUAUGAUCUUCAAAGUUGAUUUUGAGAAGGCAUAUGAUAAAAUUAAAUGGCCCUUUGUAAUACAAAUGCUAGAGUUAAAAGGCUUUCCAGAAAAGUGGUGUGAUUGGGUUAUGGAGACCAUGAGGGGGGACAUGUAGGAGUUAGAGUAAAUGAUGAAAUUGGUCCAUACUUUAAAACUUUCAAAGGUUUAAGACAAGGUGAUGCUAUGUCACCAUUUCUUUUUGAUCUGGCUGCUGAUGCUUUAGCCAUUCUAAUGAACAAUGCCCUGGAACAUGAUAUAGUCAAGGGUGUAUUAAAAUAAGGAAAUAGCAAAGGGGUAAAUAUGUUACAGUAUGCUGAUGACACUAUUUUUCUGAUCAAGGAUGAAGUGGAAAGUGUGAGAAAACUCAAAUUCAUAUUGGGCAUUUGAACAAAUGUCAGGUCUUAAAAUAAAUUUUCAUAAAAGUGAAUUGAUGCUAUUUGGGAAGGCUAAAGAAAAACAAUUGCUAUAUCAGGAAAUACUGACAUGUAAGAUGGGGGAAUUACCUAUCAGGUAUUGGGGGAUGCCUGUGUCAAAGACUAGAAUUAGGAACAUACAUUGGAGCUGUGUAACAAAUAAGAUUGAAAGAAGGUGUAGUUGUUGGCAAGGGAAACUGCUAGGAUCUAUUGCUGGCAGGAUCACUCUGGUGCAAGCUUGCCUGACUAACAUACCUCUGUUUAUGAUGUCCUUUUAUGCUGUCCCAAAAGGGAUUAUAAAAAAACAGACUUUUUUAGAGCUAGGUUGGUGUGGCAGGAAGAUGAGAACAUCAAAAAAUAUCAUUUAGUUAAAUGGAAGGAAUGCUGUCUGCCAAAAGAGGUGGGGGGGAUUAGGGAUUCUCAAUCUGGAGGUGAUGAACAUUGCACUUCUAGCUAAAUGGUUUUGGAAAAUGGAGACAGAAGAGAGUCUCUAGCAAGACAUUUUGAAAGAGAAAUAUAGGAAAGAUGACUGCUUAGCACUAGUAGAUAAGAAACCUGGAGAUUCCCAGUUUUGGACUAGUCUUUUAAAAAUUAAAGAGAUUUUCUAUAAAUUUGUCAAGAAAGAAUUGGGAGAUGGGAAAAACACCAGAUUUUGGGAGGAUACUUGGGUAGAUGAUAAACCUUUAAAGGAGGCUUAUCCCAUAAUUUAUGACAUUUGCUUUGACCACAAUAUAACUGUAGAUGAGGCCAUUCAAAAAGGGUGGCAGGGGUUCAAAUUUAGAAGAACUUUAUAUGGAGAAACUCUGGAACCGUGGAAUAGUUUAAAAAGUAGAUGUGAAGAAAUAAGUCUGAAGGGGGCGGGGGGGAGAUAGAAUUAUCUAGACUCUCACUGCUGAUCAUAAGUUUUCGGUGGGGUCUCUAUAUAAGAAAAUAAUUACACUUGGGCUGAAUUUCCACAAAAAUACCUUUGGAAAAUUAAGAUACCUGCAAAAAUAAAAGUCUUUUUGUGGCUAGUUAAUAAAAAGAGCAUUCUGACCAGAGGUGUCUUGCUCAAAAAAGGAUGGAAAGGAGGGAAAAGUUGUGUUUUCUGUGGGAAAGAUGAAUCAAUUGAUCAUCUGCUGUUUACUUGCUCUGCGGCAUCUCUGUUAUGGAGUUUGGUCAGAUGUAUUUNNNNNNNNNNNNNNNNNNNNNNNNNNNNNNNNNNNNNNNNNNNNNNNNNNNNNNNNNNNNNNNNNNNNNNNNNNNNNNNNNNNNNNNNNNNNNNNNNNNNNNNNNNNNNNNNNNNNNNNNNNNNNNNNNNNNNNNNNNNNNNNNNNNNNNNNNNNNNNNNNNNNNNNNNNNNNNNNNNNNNNNNNNNNNNNNNNNNNNNNNNNNNNNNNNNNNNNNNNNNNNNNNNNNNNNNNNNNNNNNNNNNNNNNNNNNNNNNNNNNNNNNNNNNNNNNNNNNNNNNNNNNNNNNNNNNNNNNNNNNNNNNNNNNNNNNNNNNNNNNNNNNNNNNNNNNNNNNNNNNNNNNNNNNNNNNNNNNNNNNNNNNNNNNNNNNNNNNNNNNNNNNNNNNNNNNNAAGACAAGAAAAUGGUGAUGGUAGGGAUUUCUGCCUUAUUUUGAGCGAUCUGAAAAAGUAGGAAUGCAAUCAUAUUUGAAAAGAAAAGGAUAAAUGAUCCUUUCUAUAUAAUCAAACUAAUGAGCCAGUGGUUGAUUGACUGGUCCAUCUUGCAGACAAAGGAGCCGCCAAGAAAAAUGUUGGAGCUGGGAGCAAGAGUGCUAGAACGGGCAGCAAGUGAGAGGUACACUGCUGGGCAAGGCUGGCGGAUCAACGUGGCGAGGCUCCUAUGAUGAUGUCCUGCUGUUGUGACCUCUUCGCGCUGCUGCUGCUGUUCUUAGUCCUUUUGCUUCUAUCAGUUCCUGUCUCAUGUGAUGAUAACCUUGCUAUGUUAUACCCCAGUCUGUUGGGGUCUGGAGUCUAUCGGCCUGUGUUGGCCUUUUGCUGGGUUUCUGGUGAUUAGAGUCGGUUGGUAGUUUCUUAGGUUUGUUAAAUGCUGGUUACUCUGUUACUCUGGUUUGGUUUUCAGUAAUGAAAAUCGGAAGGGGCGAGCCCUUCUUUGAUAAAAAAAAUGCUGUGGCAUUUAUACAACAUGCGGAGCUUUCAAGCAUUAGAUGAAUAAAAUCAAAUUAAUCUUAUUCAGGCAUGCACUCCAUUGUCGCUGAUAAGGGAAAUCAGGAAGCACUGGGUUUCUCUAUCUUGAACCAGAAAAUCAUGUUAAUUGAUCUGACAUGCUUGCAUUCCAUACACAGAGACAGGGAGAAAUCACGGUAGCUUUACAGUCAGGCAACCGGAGGAAGAUCCUCUACUGGAGCCAUUGGACAAAAUUAUUCCUUUGGUUAGUUGUUGAAUAAAACUGUGUCCCAGUGGCGAGUUAUCAGCUACUGAAGUUUGAUCGGAGUACUAUGUUCUUGUAAAAGUGGACUCAUGUAACAAUCAUGUUUUGUAGGGAACUGAUAUACCACCUGAUGCUCAGAUCAGGUUAUCACCUACAGAAAAGAAGUUGAACUUCUUUCAAUACUUGAUGACGUAUGUAAUGAACUUUUUACAAGAGGAAGGUAUGGUGAACACUUUCGGACAGGUAUAUACUACUACUUGCAUCUGCUUGAACACUUUCGGACAGGUAUAUACUACUACUUGCAUCUGCCUGAACUUAUAUCUUAUACCGCUUCAGCCUCGCGUGUUUCAGGACAUGCCCCCCGAUCACAUUACGAACCCGACUCAUCCUUAUCGUAUGUACGGAACUCCACGUGCGCAUGAGCUUCUCCGCAUGGAAUUGGGCACACCCACCGAUUUGUUGCAGGUGAUUUUCAAGGUAUGGCUGGAAAUGUUGUGCUACGCUGCCAACCACUGCAGCAGAGAUUCCCAUGCCAAGCACCUCAGCAGUGGUGGCGAGUUCAUUACGGUUGUAUGGCUAUUGGCACGGCAAAUCCAUGGACUUCAGCAGCCUCGUAGCUAGCUGGCAUUUGCCGCAUUUCAGUGUGUGUUUUCUUUGGAGGAAAAUACAGGCACUCUCCUGUUUGUAUAGAUAGAAUAUUUAUGUACAAAUGUCUUUUAAGAAUGAAAAACAUUUGAAUUGAGGAGUAAUUCUGAGAGUUCCAAAUGGGCGCAUUUUCUUUUCAGGUGGUUGUGGAAAUGUGCUAGUAGAUUAAGACAUAAAAUUUCUUUUGGUUAUUCCUGCAUGCACCAGGAACCCGCUCAAAAGAAAAACUUUCCGUGUGCCCACCUAUGUAUGAUUGUGUUCUCUGUAAUGAACAAGUGGAUGAGGAGAUUGCUCUUCAUCUUUCUUCGGAUUGUUCAGUUGCUCAAAAUUGUUGGAAUUCCAUCACUAAACGCAGAAGUAUAUAUCUCCCUCUGAUGAAGUCAGCCUAGCCAUUCAAGUUCUUCCUAGAAACAUUUCCAUGUACUCCCUCCGUCCCAUAAUGUAAGACGUUUGAUGUAGUGUCAAAAAACGUCUUACAUUAUGGGACGGAGGGAGUACAUCAUAAUCAUGGGGUGUUCGAUCAUAUGGAUGCAAAGAAAUGGGCAGUUUUUUUUUUUGCGACUGAGAAAUGGGCAGAUUUUCAAAAAUGAAACACCUGGGCUUGUCUUCUGGACACACUUUCUCAAGCAACCUCUUCUGCCAAUAGGGCACAGGCUGAAGAACAAACAUGACAAUUCUAGGACAUCGACUGUAGGAGGGGAAAUAUCUGGAGCAGGUUUCAUUUUCCAAAGACUGAUGAAAAACCAUAAAAGUGCAAUCACGAAGGAAGAAUAAAAAUCAUGUCAGCAAAAAGACAAGACGAGACGAGCAGUAACAUAUGAAUUCGAAACCAUUUCUCCAAAUACAUUGCAUUGCAACAGAAUUCGUUAAGACAUAUCAGUGGAAAUAUGCAACGGAGGAAGUCGAAUAUGACACGAGACCACUAGCACCCAAUAUUGAUACUCACAGCUCACAGAUGGAUUUACAUGUAGACAGGAUCAAGUUUAACGACAACAACGGGUCCAUAGCUCAGUGGUAGAGCAAUUGACUGCAGAUCAAUAGGUCACCGGUUCGAACCCGGUUGGGCCCUAUAUUUUUCGAUUUUAUUUACUUUUUCAACUAUAUGCUGUCGAUUUUAUUUACUUUUUCAACUAUAUGCUGUCUUGUCCAUCCACACUUUCUUAUCAAGUAUUUACUCUUUUUUUAUAUCAUAUGCUUUAUUCCUUCUCAUCCAUUAUGCAUUUUUUGCCAUGUCGAUUCUUCUUCGAGAGAAAUUCAUUAUGCAUUUUUUGCCAUGUCGAUUCUUCUUCGAGAGAAAUCCAUUAUGCGUUUUUUGCCAUGUCGAUUCUUGUUAAAGAGAAUUGUUAUGCUUACAUACAUUAGAUGGUUACCGCUAUUUGAAUUCUUCCACACUUUCUUCUCAAGUAUUUACUCUCUUUUUUACCAUAUGCUUUAUUCCUUCUCAUCUGUUAUGCAUUUUUUGCCAUGUCGAUUCUUCUUUGAGAGAAUUGUUAUGCUUACAUACAUUAGAUGGUUACCGCUAUUUAAAAAGUUCUGAAUUAUUUCCACACUUUCUUCUCAAGUAUUUACUCUUUUUUUACCAUAUGCUUUAAUCCUUCUCAUCCGUUAUGCAUUGUUUGCAAUGUCGAUUCUUCUUUGAGAGAAUUGUUAUGCUUACAUACAUUAGAUGGUUACCGCUAUUUGUAUAGUUCUCAAUUACUUCAAAAAUGAGGAAUUUAUGUCUUAUAUUCUGUGGAGCAUGAUAGACUAGUAUACAUAUUUUUAGACAUGUAGGAAGAACAUUUAUCCAAUUAGGUCUCUUCAAGAGAAUCUAGGAAUAGUUUGCAUAACCCAAAAUAGCAUGUUACAUAAAACCUGGAACUCGCAAUCCGUGAGCACAACCUAAAGUACGUGCACCUAAUUUAUGAUGGCACAUAUUACUGAUAUGCGUAUGUGUAAGCUCGUAACUAGCGUUCUAAUAUGUAUCUUAAUAUGUAAGGAUGCAAACUGAUAUUCAAUUUGCAUUUACAAUAGAGUGAACCAAUUAAUAUUUAAACGCAAGGAUAAGGGCGCAGAGUCUAUCUUAUUGCCUGUGUAAUUAUAUAUUUAUCAGGGUCAAAUGGAAUAAUAUUAACGGGUUCAUAGCUCAAUGGUAGAGGAAUUGAUUGCAUCUCAAUAGGUCAUCGGAUCAAACAUGGUUGGCCCCUAUUGUUUUUUUCUUUCUAUUUUUUUUAUCAACUACUGUCUUCAGCUUCCGCAUGCAAGUUUUUUUUACCAUAUCUACCUUUAGUCUUUCUCAUCCGUUAUGCAUUUUCUAGCAUGUCGAUUCUUCUUUGCGAGAAUUGUUAUGCUUACAUACAUUAGAAGGCUACCACUAUUGCUAUUUGAAUAGUUCUCAAAUACUUCAAAAUUAAGGCAAUUGUGUAUAUUAUGUGGAGCAUGAGAGACUAAUAUUAUGUUUUUAGACAUGUAGGAAGACCAUUUAUCCAAUCAGGCCCCUUCAAGAGAAUCUAAAACUAGUUUUCCUAACCUAGGAACCGGCAAUUCAUGAGCACAACCGUAAAGUACGUGCACCUAAUUUACGAUGGCGCAUACGGUUGAUAUUCAUAUGUGUAAGUUCCUAACUAGCGUUCUAAGGGCGUGUUCGGAUGUCCUCCCGCUCCACGCUUCACAAAAAGCUGGAGCGGAGCUGAGCCGAACAAAAAAGCUCGAAGAAGCUAGCUUCGAGAAGCACAGCCGGAGUCCAAUGUAAAAACACGAAGCACCAAAAUCACAGCUCCAGGAAAACGAGAAGUGAGGAGUUCGGCAUAAUUACAAGAGGAUGCCACCGCCAAGUCAAAAAAACGAUUCGCACGGCUCAGCCCCGACGCCUGUUCCCCUCUCUCCCUCGACAUCCCUUCUGCUCGUGACCUACCCAGCGCAGCCGGUCGCCGCCGCCACGCCCGAUUCCACCCCUUCGCCGGCCGGCGAGCCUCUCCGCCGGUAGAUCCGACCAUUCCAGCCCCGUUCCCGCCGGAUCCCGUCCCAAAGGAGCACUUUCCAGCGCCGCCAGCGAGGAGCUGCAGCAACCCCACUGGCAGGAGACGCCCGCCUUGACGCCAUUGAUGCUGGUGCUCACCAAGUCGUCCUCUGAGCCAACCUCCUCACCCUCGCCCCCUCUCCCCAACCCAAGGUGAGCUCGCCUUUGCAUCUUCCCUAUGGCUGGUGAUGGUACUGUACAAGUGCUGGGAGAAGCUGUCAAGCGUGCUGAACGCGUCGGAAUUGCCAGGUGAAGUGAGAAGCUAGCUCUAGAAGCUGGAUUUGUGAAGUUGUAAGAAGCUAGAUAGAUUCCGAACACGCCCUAAUAUCGUUCUUUCUUCCUCUGGAAGGAAACGGGGAUCUUGCCAGCACAGUCGCCAGGGAGUUCCUCCAGCGGCUCUGUUGAGGAUAUAACCAGUAGAGUCACCCGCCCAGGAGGGGCCGGGUUACGUUAUAAUGAUCAUCACGUGAAGCCCAGUACCAAGCUUGCGGAAGGCGGGUCAGUAAUGGGCUUAAGACCCGGAGGCGGCUUAAGGCCCGUAGUGAUGAACCGUCGUUAUGGCAAGACUUGUAGUGUAAGGCAAGAAUAGCUAAGAGUCCGGGCCGGACACUGUUAUAAGCCGGCCCGGAACCCUGAGAGCCGCUGGGGCGUCAACCUCUCUAUAUAAAGGGACGACCCGGCGGCGGUUUAGGGGGGGAGACAACAGAUCGAUAGCCAGGCAUAGCGAUUAAGCUCCCUGGUCAUCGAAACCUUAAGUAAUACCACCUCAACUGGACGUAGGCUUUUACCUUCACCGUAAGGGGCCGAACCAGUAUAAUCCUCGUGUCACUUGUCCCUCUUAACCCCUUUAAGCUUCCUAGCUGCGAUGGCUCCACGACUAAGUCCUUGCACGAGGACAUCUGCCGUGACAAUUCCACGACAGUUGGCGCCCACCGUGGGGCUGGCGCACGGUGGAUUUGAGUUCUUGAAGGGCAGCUUCGAAGGGCUCAAGGGAUACGCUGUGGGCCGCAUGACUAAGAGUCGCCGCGGCAAGCUCUACAUCGACGAUGCAAACUGGGCCCCCGACGCCGGCUCCAUCGAGUACGGGUACCGGGUCCCCUUCGGCGGAAUCCAUGUCUUCAUUGGCAAGAUUGGUGAGCCGGGCCCUGAGCCGGACCUCUGCGCCGAUCUCAUCGAGACGGCUCAGCGUGCACGACCCGCCCGGGCUCUGCCUGCCUUGAAGCGUGAUUUCGUGGGAUGCGUCCAUGGAGGACUCUCUGAAGGAUCUGGAUCCGGCGAUGAGACGGCCGCCCGCUCUGACGGCGAGUCGUCCACGGAUGAGACAAACUCGUUAUAUCAACUUCAAGAUGGCAGGCUCAGGGGUUGUUCCGAUGGCGACAGUAUUCCGGACCCCUUUGAGCCGCCGAGCCGGGUUGGAAUCUUCAUGGCCGGCGCACAACCUGUUCAAAACUCCGCCACUGGGGCAGGAGGCCCUGUGCACUCGCCGGCUCAGGUGCUGAUGGAUCUUAUAGACAAGAUGACGGCCCUGUUAACCGCCACGGUCGCCCCAGCAGAUCAAGCUCAGCAUGAUGUGGAGGUGGCACAGUUAAAGCUGGAUCUAGCAAAAGCCAAGGAGGAUCUGGCGGCGGAAGGGAUCAGGAUGGCUGCAGAAAGGGCGGCUCUCGACGCCCAGACUCAGCUCAUUCAAGCGCAGUCUUUCCGGCUCACGAUGGAUCAGAACGCGUCCAAUGGGAUCAUGAGAAGGAGGCAUCAAAAGGCUCAAUCUGGACUCCCUCCAGUUUACGAUCCUCGAAACCUCUUCAACACGCCUAGUGCAGGGCCCAGUAACCCGCCAGAGAUCACGGCGCCCAGGGCUGGAACGCCAAUUCAGCCCCAAGUGAUGGGGCCUCCCCGGGUGAACGCUGCCCCUCCUCAGUACGUGCCAAUACCACCGAGUCAUUAUGCCAACCCGUUGGAAAACAUGGUCGCCGCGGCGGCGCGACUGGCGGCUCUCCCAAUCGAGGGCGACUCUCCAACGGCGGUCGAAACCCGCCGGGUCAGAGAACUUCUUCAGACGGCUCUGGCGCAGCAAGAGGCAUACUCAUAUAGCCGGGACAGGAUUCAUUCAACCCCUCGUCCAAACCAGAGCCCAAGUUAUAGCAAGCACAUGGAAUCAGCAACCGGCUCAAGCAACGUCUGGCGCCGCAACUUACCAGCUGGCCACGGUCCGGCACAUAAUGAAGCCGUUAACAUGGUAGACCAUGACAGGGCACGACAAGAGGCGGAGCGGGCGGCUCAGUUGACGGCUUACCAGCCACUCCCGGCUUAUCCGACGGCUUCUAUCGACGCGGGUAUACCUACGAGGGCUGGAGGUGUUCCUUGUCUGGUGCCGGCUCUCCGUAAUGAACGUCUGCCCAAGGAUUUCAAAGGGCCUAGGAAGGUACCUAAUUACACAGCUGAUUUACAACCCGGAGCAUGGAUCGAGAGUUACGAGAUGGCUAUGGAGUUGCUGGAAGUCAGUGAAGCGGCAAUGGCCAAGUACUUCACCAUGAUGUUAGAUGGGACUGCCCGCACUUGGUUGACAGGACUGCCGCCUAACUCUAUCGGGUCGUGGGCGGAGCUGAAAGCCCAGUUCAUCCAAAACUUCAAAGAUACAUGUAGGCAAUCUAUGUCAAUUGUGGAUUUGACCAACUGCAAGCAGCAGGAGGGUGAGUCUACAACCCAUUGGGUUCGCCGGGUCAAAGAGAUAAUACAUUCAUCUGAUAAGAUGGACGCCGGCUCUGCAGUUUAAUGUUGGAGCAGAAUUGUCGUUUUGCGCCCCUGAAGAUGAAGCUCGGGCGGCUCAAGCGCGAUUGCAAUGAUAUGGGUACGCUGAUGGCGGCUCUGGUCAAGUACGCCGACUCUGAUAGUACCAAGGAUCCCGCGUCGGAUGAUGAAAGGACAGGGAAGGGAAAACAGAAUGGCAAUGGCAAGGGCCCCCAGCAUAACCCGGCGAACCAGGGAGGUAACAAGCGUAAGGUUGAUGGCAGUAUGGAAUUUGUGGCCAACGCCAAUUCACAGGGUAACAACCACCGGCACAAGGGGAGACCACCUCCCCGAGCCGGCGGGUCUGGCCCGACGCUUGAGCAGUUGUUGAAUGAGCCUUGCCCAAGGCAUGGCUCUAGGGAAAAGCCGGCCACUCAUCUAUGGAAGGACUGUGCAAUCAUGAAGGCCUUUAAGAAUUCCAAUGCUUUCAAUGGCAACAAUGGCCCGGGCGGCGACUCAGGCGCCGGCGGCUUUCAUGGCCCGGGCGGCGGCUCAAAUUCCAAUUCUCAGAAUGUUCAAGGGGGCUUUAAUCAGCAGUCCGGCCAGGGUCAUCAACAACAGCAGCAGGGGGGAUACCAGACCAAUCCAAAGCAGCUCAAUGGCGGGCAGUAUCAUGUGUUUACUACCAGUCUGUGCAAGCGAGAGCAAAAGCUCCAUAAAAGGGCUGUGAACGCUGUUGAGCCGGCGGUUCCACGCUAUUUAAGAUGGUCUGAGCAGCCUAUUGUGUGGAGUAGGGAAGAUCAUCCUCCCCGGGUUGAUAAUCCGGGUCACCUGGCCUUGGUGGUGGCUCCUCAGGUUGGGGGGUAUAAAUUCACUAAGGUGCUCAUGGACGGAGGCAGCAGCAUCAACAUCCUCUAUUAUGAGACCUUCCGUCGUAUGGGUUUAACUGAUAAAAACCUCAGCCAGUCCAAUACUGUUUUCCAUGGCGUGGUGCCCGGCAAGUCGGCAUAUCCAGUCGGUAAGAUCGAACUGGAAGUAGCCUUCGGAGAUGAGUACAACUAUAGGGCGGAAAAACUAACCUUUGAGGUGGUUAAGAUAAGAAGUUCGUACCAUGCUUUAUUUGGGCGGCCGGCUUACGCCAAGUUCAUGGCACGGCCGUGUUACGUGUAUUUGCAGCUCAAGAUGCCGGGUCACAAUGGGACCAUUACGGUUCAUGGCAGCCGAAAGAUAGCCUUGGAGUGUGAGGAAGGUGACGCGGCUUACGCGGAAUCUGUUUGUGCAACAGAAGAGUUGAAGUUUUACAAGGACAACGUUGACCCGGCAGAUAUGAUGUCUUUGAAAAAGCCAACCACGGAGCAUGAGCCGGUAAUGAAAUUUAAAUCAGCUAAUGAGACUAAACUUGUUGAUUUUGUUCCGGGUGACUCAUCUCAGCAGUUCAGCAUCAGUGCCAAUCUGGAUCCGAAAUAGGAAGGCGCGCUCAUCGAGUUCAUCCGUGAGAACAGGGACAUCUUUGCAUGGAAACCUUCUGACAUGCCGGGUGUACCUAGAGAACUCGCUGAGCACACUCUCAAUAUUGAUCCGAAAUUUAAGCCGGUCAGGCAAUUCCUCCGGCGGUUUAAUGAGGAGAGGCGGAAAGCCAUUGGUGAGAAGGUAGCCCGGCUCUUGGCGGCCGGGUUUAUUGUUGAAGUUUUUCAUCCAGAAUGGUUAGCUAACCCGGUGCUUGUGCUCAAGAAGAACGGCACCUGGCGGAUGUGUGUGGACUACACGGAUUUAAACAAAGCUUGUCCGGCUGAUCCUUUUGCUCUCCCCCGUAUUGAUCAAAUUAUUGAUGCUACGGCGGGUUGUGAGCGCUUAAGUUUUUUGGAUGCUUAUUCUGGAUACCAUCAGAUUAAAAUGGCAGUUAAGGACCAGGAGAAGACGGCGUUCAUCACUUCCUUUGGAGCUUUCUAUUAUGUGUCUAUGCCCUUUGGGCUCAAGAGUGUACAGGCGACUUACCAGCGUUGCGUGCAGAAUUGUCUUCAUAACCAGAUUGGGCACAACGUUCAUGCCUAUGUGGAUGAUAUGGUUGUUAAAUCCAGGGAGAAGGAGACCUUGAUAGAUGAUCUUAGAGAAACCUUUGAUAAUCUCCGGGUUUACAAGAUGAUGCUUAACCCGGCCAAGUGUGUUUUUGGUGUUCCCGCGGGCAAGCUCUUGGGUUUUCUGGUUUCUCAUAGAGGCAUUGAAGCUAACCCGGAAAAAAUCAAGGCAAUCACCUCGCUGGCUAAGCCGGCGUGCAUAAACGACGUCCAGCGUCUGGCGGGUCGCAUCGCUGCUUUGAGCCGGUUUAUAAGCCGCUUGGGUGAAAAGGCCAUGCCACUGUACCAGAUGAUGAAGAAAACAGAUGACUUUAUAUGGAAUGAUGCUGCUGAUGCUGCUUUUGAGGAUUUGAAGAGACAGCUGGCUGAGCCCCCAGUCCUUGCUGCUCCUGUUGACAAGGAGCCCUUAUUGCUGUAUGUAGCCGCUAACACACGAGCCGUCAGUGUGGCUGUGGUAGUGGAGCGUAAGGAAGCGGGUAAGGAGUAUCCGGUUCAGCGGCCGGUUUACUACGUCAGCGAAGUACUCAUUGAGUCCAAGCAACGGUAUCCACAUUGGCAGAAGCUUGUUUAUGGGGUGUUCAUGGCAAGCCGAAAGCUUAAGCACUAUUUCCAGGGUCACCCUAUCACUGUGGUUAGUUCUGCUCCCCUAGGAGAUAUCAUCCAAAACAGAGAAGCCACAGGAAGAGUGGCUAAGUGGGCUAUAGAACUUGGGCCUCAUGGUCUGAAAUACGUACCACGCACUGCCAUCAAGUCUCAAGCAUUGGUGGAUUUCAUAAACGAUUGGACAGAGCUGUAGGUGCCUGAAGAGAAACCGGAUAAUACGUACUGGACUAUUCACUUUGACGGGUCCAGGCAGUUGGAGAGCUCGGGGGCUGGCGUUGUAUUAGCUUCCCCUCGAGGUGACAAGUUUUGCUAUGUGCUACGGUUGAUGUUUCCCUGUACUAACAAUGCAGCUGAGUACGAGGCCUUGCUCCAUGGUCUUCGGAUGGCUAAGGAGAUGAGCUUAAGCCGGGUAAGGUGCUUUGGCGAUUCAGAUUUAGUGGCCCAACAAGUGUCAGGCAAGUGGGAUUCCAAGGACCCCCUCAUGGCGGCUUAUCGCCGCGAAGUUGAUGCCAUUGCUGGACAUUUUCAGGGUUACCAAGUAGAGCACAUCGAUCGCAGGAAGAACGAGGCGGCUGAUGCAUUAAGCCGGCUGGGCUCUCAGCGAAAGCCGGUGCCGCCUAAUACUUUCUUGGACAUCCUGCAUAACCCUUCUGUUAAGUUGCCUACAGAGGAAGGCUUGGCUGUUCCUGACCCGGAAGCGCAGUUGGUGGCGGCUCUCCACAUUAUCCCAUAUUGGACAGUACCAUACUUGGCUUACAUGACCCGGGGAGAAUUGCCUGAAGAUGAAACUUUGGCCAGACAAAUAACCCGGCGGUCUAAGUUAAUGAUAAUUAUCAAGGGCGAGCUGCAUCGUCGCAGUGUCACUGGAACUUUCCAGCGUUGUGUUUCCCCUGAGGAAGGUCAAGAAAUCUUACGUGAGAUCCACGAGGAGGAUUGUGGCCAUCAUGCCGGCUCAAAAUCCCUUGUGGCCAAGGCUUUUCGUCAUGGUUUUUAUUGGCUGACGGCUCAUGCUGAUGCAGAGGACUUGGUCAGUAAAUGUGACGGUUGUCAGAGGUUCUCGCGACGGGCUCAUGUGCCGGCUCAAGAGUUGAGGAUGAUUCCAAUCACUUGGCCAUUUGCGGUCUGGGGGCUUGAUAUGGUUGGGCCUUUUAAAAGGUCCAAGGAUAAGAAGACCCACCUCUUGGUGGCGGUUGACAAGUUCACAAAGUGGGUUGAAGCAGAGCCAGUUAGUAAGUGUGACACAGCCACAGCGGUUCAGUUCAUGAAAAGGGUGAUAUUUCGCUUUGGUUUUCCACACAGCAUUAUAACUGACGAUGGUACUAAUCUGUCUAAAGGUGCCAUGGAGGAGUUUUGUCAACGAGAGCAUAUUCGGCUUGAUGUUUCAUCAGUGGCUCAUCCACAAUCCAAUGGUCAGGCUGAGAGAGCCAAUCAGGAAAUCUUGAAGGGCAUCAAGCCCCGACUUUUGGUCCCUUUGCAACGGACGCCGGGUUGUUGGGUGGAGGAGUUACCCUCCGUGUUAUGGAGCAUCAAUACUACUCCUAACAGGUCUACGGGUUACACGGCUUUCUUCAUGGUUUAUGGAGCGGAGGCGGUCCUCCCUAGCGACAUCCGUCAUGACUCGCCUCGAGUGGCGGCUUAUGUUGAGGCGGAUAAUGAGCGGGCGCGCCAAGAUGCUCUUGACUUGUUGGACGAACAGCGUGAUGUGGCAGCAGCUCGCUCGGCGAUUUACCAACAAGACCUGCGCCGCUAUCACAGCCGCCGGGUUAAGUCCAGGGUCUUCCAGGAAGGUGAUCUGGUGCUCCGGCUCAUCCAAGAUCAAACAGAUGCACACAAGUUAUCCCCGCCUUGGGAAGGGCCCUUUGUGGUCAGCAAGAACUUGCACAACGGGUCAUACUACCUUAUCGAUGUUCGGGAUCACAAAGAUUCACGUAAGUCGGAGGAAGAGACCCGUCGGCCGUGGAACAUAGCUCAGCUUCGGCCUUAUUACACUCGAGCCACCGGCUCUCAUAAUGUACAUAUUUCCAUAGCCAUGUAUAUAUUAUGAUAAAUAAUAAAGCAGGACCUCUGUCCUUUUUCCCUCCAAAGUGUGUUAUUGUUAUUUCCAUUACAACAUUACAUGGUCACUUGGAGGUUGAUCCGGCUUAUGAUCGUAUUCGAAUCUAGCCAUUAAACAAUAUGAUCACUUGGGGGCUUCCUGUUCAAACAUAGGUCGUAUUCAAACCAAAGAGAACAUAGCUGUCGUUACACACUUGAUUGGCAAAUUGCCGAGCUCAUUGGGGAGUUUUUUUUAUCAUAUUUGAAUCAUAGCUCAACCCCCUUUGGGAACCGACGUGGAUCGUAUUCGAAUCAGCGUCGUUAAACAACUCUUAAGGUCAUUUGGGGGCUUCCUGUUCAAACAUGGGUCGUAUUCGAACCUAAGAGAACAUAGCUGUCGGUACCCUCUUGAUCGGCAACGCCAAAGCCACUGGGGGCUAUAUGAUUGCAUUCGAAUCUUAGCUUAACCCCUUUGGGACGGUUCUCUGGUCGUAUUCAAACCAGAAGCCCUUAAGUUUUGAUCUUUUAGUUUGCAACAAGUUCUUUUGAUCAUAUCAACACUGUGCAAGGGCGGUUCUUACUCCGCCGGCUUAACUUUGAUUCACAAUGUUGAUAGCACACAAUAAGCAUUAUCGAUGCUGGUGAACCGGAGUUGAGUUCUCAACCUCAUUAUUUGGGUUACAUAAAUCGGAAGUGUACUUGAAGGCUUGCAGGUAUGCUAUUAUGGUUACCUCGAGGAUAUAAUUGAGAGCCGGUCUUUUAUGACUUUGGUUCAUAUUCCGGGUUAUAUGUAAAAUAUAUGACUCCCAGUGCGGAAAGCCGCCUAGAGACUUGUGAUUUGUUUUCUAUGCAGGACAAUGAAAGACAGUUCUUUAAACUUAAGGAAAGUAAAUGAUCAAACAUAACCCGGAGGAAUACAAAAGAGCAGCUUCAACGGAGUUAAGCACUCCACACGUGCACGAUGGCACGGCAAAAUUAAGUGUUUGUCCUACUCUAUUACAGGACUCCCCGAGUCCAAAAGGUGAGGCAUUGUUUUUAAGGCAUAACCAUGAGCCGCCUAAGAAAUCAAGGUGCUUGUUGGGUUGAAGCUCCCGGCUCAUCCCUCUCCGCUCCUCCGGCUGUUUCCAUGACCUGGAAGGUUGAUGAUUUCCAGUCAAUGCCGCUCAAAGCUUCAAAUUGAGCCUCAUCAUCAAUUAACCCGGCCGGGUCAACUUCUGGGGCGAAGGUAUGCUUACGAGUCGGAGGGAUCAGGCUGGCUGCUUCAUAGCGUGGAGUUGGGAUCCUCUGAUUCUCCGCGUCAUAGCCCGGCUGAUACUUGGUAAGGUCUGUGUCAUUCCCAAUCAAGGUGGCCACCGGGCGCACGCUCUUCACACAGGCGGCGAAGUCUUUCUGGUCAAAGGGGUGCCGUCUUCCUUCAGGCUGGGGUAUCCAAGAGCGAUGUCGGCCGGGUCUAGCUCCGGUAGAAACGCCUUGGCCCGGCUCAGAGCAGCUAUAGCUCCGGCUCUUGCAGAAGCCCGUCUCAGCUCUUGGAAGCGUUGAGGAAGUACGGCAAGCCGCCUGAGUACGUCUGCCAGGUGAGUGGGAACCUCAUUGGACAAUGCCACAACGGCUAAAGCACGCUGUGACCCGGUGUAGAGUUGCUCCACCAAGGUGUAAAUAGCCUUCAGCUUGGUCAGCAUGUUCUGAUUGAGAUUGGAGCUUCUGGGACCUGUAUAACAAAGUCAGGUGAGCUGAUGGCAAUGGUGGGACUUAUGAGACAUGAAUGAUGUAAACUUGUUAGAAGCUUACAAAGUAACUUACCGAAGAUUGCGGAGACCAUCUGCGAUACAUGGCGUUUUAAGCCGGAGAGUUCAGCGGUUCUUUCAGUAAGAGCAGCCUCCGCUUGUUCGGCCCGGCUGAGCAAGGCAGUCUUUUCAUCGGCCCAGGCUUUUCUUUCUGUUUCAAAUUUUUUCUUCGGUUUUUCUUGUGCAGAGACACUGAACUCAAAUUUGGCAUUGGCCUUCUGGGUCUCAUUUUCCUGAGUCUUCAGGCGGUUCUUCAGAUCAGAGAUUUCCGAUUCAAGUUUCUUGCAGGCAGCCUGUACAAAUUCCGGGUUACAGUUUGAGUGAUUGUCAUGCAACAUUAAAGUCCCAAGCACUUUGCAGGCAAAGGUACUUGGCACUUGGGGGCUAAUGUAGGCUGAGAAGCUUUAUUUACAGUGCCGGUUCAUGAAAAUAAGUCCCAAGCACUUUGCAGGCCAAGGUACUUGGCACUUGGGGGCUAAUGUGUCAAGUUGCUCAACUACUUGGUUAAAGUAAGGAAAGAAUCAGGUGAACUAUGCUAUUUAAGCCGGCCCUUGAGUGUUACCAGGUAAGCCGGUAUUAAGUCUACAACAUAUUCUAUCAUAAGUAAUAGACUUGGGGGCUAGCAUGGUAAGGAUGACUAUGGAGUAAGCAAGAGAGUUGUACCUCAGAUUUUUGCUGUAUCUGCUUCACCAUGUCAAUUUCCAGGUCCCGGCUGUUGUGCACUUGACCAAUAUAACCAGCGACAAUAUCUCCAAUGCUCAGAUUGGCAUAGUUAGUAAUGUCCAGCCUGGCUCUGCGGCGUCCCAGAAGUUCCUCCUUAGCAGAGCACUUAGCCAGCACGGUGGGUCUUCCCGGUUCAACAAAUUCGGUCCGGGUAAUCACCACAUCCGGGUCAUCGGCCGGUUGAGCUGGGCUGGGAAUCUCCGGAUUAUCAGAACCCUCCAUAGCUUGUUCUUCAGUUGGAGCGGUGGUUUCUGGAGCUGGUGCAGACGGCGGCUCAGAGGCAGAGGCGUUGGGUUCAAUCAAGACCGGCUCUUCGACCCGGAUACUUUUCUUUGCCCACUUGCUGAGCUUUGCUUGUGCACUGAAAGUCAAAAGGUUAGUGCAAAAACAUGAGUAAGAUAAGCACAAAAUAAGCUGAUCAUCAUUACCCGGGUGCGGUCUUGAAAGCCGGCAAGUUAGAUUGCAUGGAGUCCCCGGAGGAAGGUGAAGUUUCCUGAUAGUUUGAAUCAGAAGAAUUGAGUGGUUGACGAGUGACGCCCGCCAAAGGAUGAAAAGGAUAUAAGUUGGAGAUAACCUCAGUCCGGUGCUUCCUUGAUGCUUCAGGUAAGCCGGAGGAGAGGUCUGCAUCCUUGUUGGUCCGGGUUUGCCUCCGGCUCUCAUGAAUCUGUCGCUUCAAAAGAAAUUGAGGAUCUUGAUAAGCUAAAGGAUGUGAAAAUCUUACUUUCCGGGUUACUCUUCGGACUUUCAGCCUUGGCAAGGGCUCCGAGUCGGAGGAAAGUAUAGUUACCUCUUCAAUCACCGGGUUACUCGCUCCGGUAUCAUCCUGCUGAUAAUCAGUGUCAAUAAGGUGGUUAAAAACAGACAAAAAAACAAA